UAUGAAUAUUUUGUUGAAGUUUUCUUUGUGUUUUGAUUUUUCAAAUUUCCAAGUCAGUUAUUUAUAUAUGUAAUGACAGGAUAGCUGAAAUUUACUGGCAUUUCAAUAUAUUAUUAGUUUUUGAUCAAACCGUUCAAAUUUCAUAUAAACUUUUGAGCCGGUAAUUAUGAUGUUGGACCCAUUCAUAAUCUUUUCUUCUCAUGAUAGGAAGUCAAUUAUGUUGAUGCCUCAUUUUCUGAUGUUUGAUGAUCCUAAUUACCAGGGUAGUUCCAUGCAAGGCCUUAAUUACAUAUAUGAUGCUGAAUCAGUCCAUAAUGUCAGAGCAAAAUUUAUAAAAAGUUUCUUUGAGAUCACUAGAAUUGUCACAGAGUGACAGAACACACCAACUUUCCAUUCAUCAAAGCCAGAUUCUGAUAUCAUCAGAAUCUUCACAAAUCAUACUACUUCCAAGAACCUUCUUAAAAUCCUCGAGUCACACCUGAAUCAUACUGUGUCUAAAUGUGCAAAUCCCCUCCUGGCUUUUUAAGAAAACAAAAAGCUCUACAGGAAGAACAGAUUCGAUCCCAGCAACCAGAUCUGCUGUAGGAACCCAAUCAGAUGGCAAGUCCAAGAAACUAAUGCAACAUAUCCACGCACUUUUGGACUUUUAGAUUGUCAGCGCUUUUGGAUUUUUAGAUUGUAUCAUCAUCAUCACCGCCGCUGCCGCCACUAUCAUCAUCAUCCAUGCCCCUGUGCAUACAGAUUUUCAUGUAUUCACUCUGUUAAAGUUGCAAACUACAUAAGUUAUUCUCAUAAAAUAAGUGUGGCUGCAUCCUUAUCAUCAUCUCCCUCUUCAUUUGUUGGCAUAACCUGACAUUGGAUUAUAACAUAGAAAUCGUGCUCUCAUAUCUUAUAGCAUAUAUAAUGAGAAAGCCCUGAGGCCAGCUUCAUAUGGCCAGCCUCCAAGGCCUGAAGCUGCAACACUUGAGUUUUUCCCUCAACACCACCUACCAAAAAAAGAAGGAAACCUGGACUCUCGAGCUCCUGGUUCUGCAUUUCUUUCUGUUUCGACAUUGGAUUAUAACAUAUUCCAACAUAGAAAUCGUGCUCUCAUAUCUUAUAGCAUAUAUAAUGAGAAAGCCCGGACGCCAGCUUCAUAUGGCCAGCCUCCAAGGCCUGAAGCUGCAACACUCAAGUUUUACACUCAAGUUUUCCCUCAGCACCACCUACCAAAAAAGAGAAGAAGGAAACCUGGACUCUCGAGCUCCUGGUUCUGCAUUUCUUUCUGUUUCUCACGAGUACAUCUCACCUAGAAGGAGAAAAGAGGGGGAGAAAGAAGACCGGAGGGAGUGGGAGUAUAUAGCUCACAUGCCCUAGCACCCAACUCCCUUUGGGCUUCUUUAGCAAGUGUUCUUUUCCCACCCUCCCUCCUAAUGAAAUCAUGUGUUCUGCAUGUGCAUGUCCUGGACUAUAGUUACACCUUAACCAUAAUUUGUUAGUAUAUACACUUGCAUCUCAAGGUGUGCUGAGAGGCAGCAAAUCACCUUAUUUUCUCUUGCCCUCAAGCCCAGGAGGGUAAGGGUAAGAAUCCCUACUCUAAUUGGCAAAUAUUAAAGCGUCAUGAAUCGUGCCCAUGCUGAUUAAGGUUACAUGUACCAUGUCACAAUAUAUGGAAUCUUGGCAUGCACCAGGACCAAAAAGACGCUCAUAAAAGGCAAGCUAAGGUACACUACAUGAUUCAAUGUUUUAUUUAAACAUAAUCUAAAUUGCUAUAUAGACAUGUUUAACACAAAUAAGGAUUUAUGAACUGAUGAUCAGAAAUCUAGGAUCAAAAAUAAUUCUAAAUGUCUGUCUUGGUUGAUAUUUAACAUGUGCGCUAACUAUUUUAAGUUUUUUCAUCAUAAAGUUAACAUGACAAAAGUAUGUUUAUGUAUUAGCAAUACAAAUAAACUCAUAAUUCAUGAUAAAAUUUAUGGCAGAUUUGUAUCUAGUUUACAUCAACAGAGUUGUAAGUAGCACGGACAUUUAAAAGUAUUUUGGUUGCUUAUACCAUGAAAUUGUAGGAAGAUUAUAUAAAUCAAGAUAUCUUAGUUCUAACCUCUAUAGGAUGACAAUAUUUGUGGUUAGUGUGUUCGGUGCAGAAAUUUGGCGUUCAAAUCCUCAAGGAAAACAAGGCAACAAAGCAUAUACAAACGACCAAUAUACCUACUUGAGAUUUUGGAUUUAUACGUCUUAAAACAUAUAUAUAACAAAGCUUUGGAUUUUACUACGCAAAGGCAUUUAUCUUCCAUAAAAACCUCAGCUGUACCAAAACCACAUCAACUCCAAUAAAGUUUAAAAUCCACUUGUACAGAGGUCUGAGGGAAAUGUGAAAAUUGUACACCCUGAUCAGGUGCUGUCCAGCUGCUGCUUAUGAUCCAGUUACAUGUUUUUAAACAAUCCUCUUUUAAUUUCUUAGUCAUCACAAUUUGCUUGCCUUUAUUAUAUGCAUUACUCUCUGACUUUCGAAUUAUUUGUACAAUCUUUUCCAGAUUCCAAAAUUGCCUGAUAUCGAUCCACUGCUCCAGAACAAUGCGUUACUUGCAUCCAAUGUCAUGGACCGUGCGCCAAUAAAUGAGCUUGCUGGAUGAACUGCUUAGUGCAUAUGCUGCAAAUGAUAUAUUAAUGUUCUAUAUAUUCUUGGUGCUUUUGUAUGUUAUACUGUAUAUAAAAAUCUUGCAUACCUUAGAUAAAGCAGCCAAAGUCCUUGUUUCUUUUAGAGCCCAAGGGAGUGUUGGUAGGUUAAAGGGUGCAGUCCUUUUUCUCCACAUUCACCAUUUUUCCUAUAUGUUUACAAGUAGGACUCAGAGAAAUCAAAAUAACAAAUAUUUUCAGUGUCACUCUGUGUGUGUGUUUGUGUGUUUGGGGAGCUACCAUUUCUUGCAACUGCAGUAACAAAUCAGCAUUCACCUUUCUCAUUUUCCAGCUACUGUUGGCAAACAGAAAUCUUGAUUAUGAGCUGUAUUUUGUCUGCAUUUUACGUUUAUUUGCUAGUUCCUUGUAAGAAAAAAGAAAUGCAGCUAAUAUCUGCUCUCAAUCACUAGUAUCAUGCUUGAAUCUGUUAAAUGAAUUCGACUGAAUUACCAUCAUAUUCCAAAGGAUAUACAUUUCUUCCAUCUCAAAAAUAACUCAGACAGGAGAUACAAAUAUCCACAUCCACGUUCAUACCGCAUGUUAAGAAAGGCACGAAUGACCUUUUGGUUAUUCCUUCUCACUCUGUUUGCAAGCGAAUCUAUCUAUUGCCGAGGUUUUCUCCUGCGUCAGCCUUUUUGUCGGACAUUGGUCACAGCCUCGGGAAUUGGAGUAUUCUAGAAGAGCAAGCAGGAGAAGGAAAUGAGCUCAACUGCCAUGGUAGUAGGAGGUAACUCCUGAUUGCAACUGAGCAUCGAGAACUAUGAAUGAGAAAAUAUUGCCCUACGUUAAUAUUUGUGAGGAAAUGCUAUGAAUUCUAUAGAUGUUAUCAAGAAGUAUAUACAUGUCAGUGCAAAAUCAAUAUUGAUUGCAUCCAGGUAUAAAAUUAAGACCCGCAACCAAUGGAUAUGAUGAUGUCAGAGCACAGAAAACAAAGCUGGCGGAUGAUCCUCCAUCCACGUACCCUUCCAAUAGCAGGCCGUUGAAGAGUUAACAGCUACUUCAAGGCAAUGACCGAAUGACAUGCAGCAUAAAGUUCUUGGUGCUGUCCGAUAUUUAGAGCGAAGAAGCUGACUCAGGGUCUCCAACACUGCUAUUUUCUUUUCUUUUUCUGGUGCCCCCAUAGCUGCAACCAAAAAUGGCAUCUAACCAUGACAUGAGGAGGUCUAAGAAACCAAGUCUAUAAAGCAGCCAGCCUGAGGUACACGGUGUUCCUAGCACCAUUCAGUUUUUACAUACCGAAAGAAAGCGUAGAGGGGGAGGAUAGAGAGAUGUAGAGGGAGAGGAGAAAGAGAUGUCGAGAGAAAGAUAUGAUCUUUUGUUUUCUUUACUUCAAAUAGUGUCAUAGCCCAUCUCUAGUUGAAGGUGGCUAUGUAUACAGCUUAUAUACAGCUAAUAAUAUAAUUUAUAUACAGCUAACACAUACAAAUUUAAGGAAGCUUCUAAAGGCGGAAAUGGUAGCUUGACAGAGAGACUAAACGCGGAAAUCGUACACAUAACUAUUCCAUGCUCUUUUUUUUGCCACUGCAGUACUGCUUCUUUAAAUAAAAUAAUUAAAUCCAUCAAGCAGCGAGACAUCCGCUUUGACCUUCGGAGAAGCCAUCUCAUCAUAUCUCAACUCGUCAAGAAACCUCUGAAGCUGCUUCUUGGAACCACCAGUGAAGCUGAUCUCGCAUUCUGAAACAUGAAGAUCACCAACUGCACCAAAUACAUGCAAUUCAAAUCAAACCCACGAACGGAAAUACUUCUCGUGUUAUGUUCGAGGCAGUUGAAAGGCCUCUUGCUCCUCCCAGCAAUCUUCCGAUAGCAGGGCAUUGGGAAUGAGUCUAGUACUUCUGUAGUCAUCUACCUAAAACAUGUAUCCCCCCUCUUCAAUCCCCUUCCUCUCUUAUCUCUCUUCCUACCAGGGGCGGCCCAAUGCAUUUAGGGGCCUAAGGCGAACUCAUCAAGAAAGGCCUUUUAUUUUGAAAAAUAAUAAAAAAAUUAAUAAGUGCAAAAUUUUGAGGAAGUAUUUCAAUUACUUUAUAACAUCUACUCAUUGUCAUAGAGCUAGCUAAAAUGGUUCAUAGAUAAAAGAAUAAUUUUUUCAAUUUAUCUUUUUUGUACAUUUAAUAUAUACUUUCUCAAGGUUGUAGAUUUGUUGCAUGUCUAUCCAUCACAUAAUAUGCAAUACUUAAGGCCUAGUAGUCAGCCCUUCACCUAUGUGUCAAAUCUAAGUUAAACCUUACUUUAUCCACCAAAAGAAUACAUAAUUAUAUUUCUUGCAAGUUUUCAAGCAUACGGCAAUUUUGCAUCAAUAACAGCCACAACCACCUUGAUAUUCCCAAAUAAUUCUUAUCGCACCAAUGAAAACUAUCAAAGGUAAAAGCUAAAGCACCUAAAUCCUAUAAAAUAUUUCAUAACUAUCCCAUUUGUCCCUAUUCCCCUUCUCUACGUGUAUAUCCUACUGCAAAUAUCAACUAUACCAUGUAAGCACCAAUGCAUGUCAGAAAAUUUAAAGAAUUAAUAUGAAGCAUAUGUUCCAUGAAAUUAUCUUACUUGAUGCCACCUUGGCACAGAGUUCCUACGAAGAUAGCCACUCAACUCCCAUCUCCUUUCUCUUACUUUCCUGAGAGAUUGAUGCGUCGCCCUCUUUUAGCCCUCCAUCGAUCUGUCCGAGAUGGCCUUCUCCUUCUCCUUCCCUCUCUCUUCUCCUUUCUAUCUGAGGCCGACACCCCCUUCUUUGCACGGUGCCCUUGAGAAUCUCGCCCUCUUCUUUCUCUAUCUUCACUUUUUUUGAUAUGAGAAUUAGAAAAAGUUUCAAAAACCUAUUCUCUAUUUGGAAAAACAUUAGCAAACAACUUGAAGCUUUUUGGAGUUGUCUGUCGUUUAAAUUGAAAAAUGGCACGAACAUCCGCUUUUGGAAGGAUAGCAGCAAUCAAUAGGAUUUUCCUAAUCCUCCCUUUCCGAAAAGAAGAUGUUAAAAUUUUUUUUCCUUUCCGCAGGGAUCAGGAGAUUGGAUCUAGCCAUAAGAAGAAUGCUUGGCUGAUAAAUAACUCACUUUUUGGUCUUCGACCCCCUCCGUCACUACGAACAACUCUGAUCAGUGUAAUGGGAUGUGUUUAUUUAUUUAUCUCUUGACUCGAAAUGGAAAUAGGUUGGAUUUGAAAAAAGAUCUUAGAGUGUCUAGGGUUGGGCUGGCCGGGGCCUUGAGAAUCUGGUCCUCUUCUUUCUCGAUCUUCACUUUUUUUUGAUAUGAUUGUCAACCUUUUCCCAUGGAUCUGGCCCUCCUGGUAUUCUUCUCCCUCCCUUUCGCGUUUGCUGGCCCCUCCUCUCCUUCCUUGCUUUUCCUCUCUCUCUCUCUCUCUUUCUUUGUAGAAUGCGCCUCCUUGAUCAACCUCUCCUUCCUCNNNNNNNNNNNNNNNNNNNNUUCUUCUCCCUCCCUUUCGCGUUUGCUGGCCCCUCCUCUCCUUCCUUGCUUUCCUUCUCUCUCUCUCUCUCUUUCUUUGUGAAUGCGCCUCCUUGAUCAACCUCUCCUUCCUCUUUACCAGCCCUCGGGACCAAGCCCUCCCCUUCUUUCUCCCUCCCUUUCUCUUUCUUUCUCUUUGGCAUAAAUUCCUCCCGCUGAUUUUAGCUUCCCUUCCUAAUCCUCUCUCUGCAUUCCCUUCCCUCCACUCUCUAUGUGUAGGAUCGCCGUCAGUAAGACACCAUGCUCUACCGUAGUUCGGUAUGUUGUCUCUCUUAAUAUUUUCCGGUAACUUGGUCCUAGUGUGUCAUUCCCCUGCAAAACUUCUGGUGUCAAGGUGGAUUACUUACUGAAAUUUGAAAUUUAAUUUUCAAAACUUGAAUGGUGUUUACCAUUGGAUGGAGGGUGUUUUCAAUUUUCAAUUUUGAAUUUUAUAGUUUAUGUCGGAUGGAAGUACAGAAAUUUUUUACUUUUUUUUUACAUAUAUUUCUCUUAUUAUACAUUUCAUUAUCUUAAUAAAAUAUAGGAUAGGUCUCCUUCUCUUUUCAUCAAAAUAGAUUCCUACAUUAUCUUCCAAUUAUUUUCCAUUCUCUAAAUAGCUUUAUAUCAGUACUUUCUAGGCAUAAAGAUUCAUCCAUAGAAUUUACUCCUGAAUGAUUUUUUUUCUUUUAUUUAAAAUAGAUGUGAUGAUAUUCUCCAAAACUUAACAAGGAGUCAUUGACUAGGUAUGAUUUUUACUCGGCCUUUUGAACCGUUCUAGAAUUUGCAUAUUGUUGUCUCAAAAAUAGAAUGCACAUGUUGGUUAAAGUUUAAAAAAGAGUGGUAAGUAGCUAGAAUCCUAAAUUAUAGAUACAUGUUCAUAAUCGGAGAUAAUGUAUAAAUAAUUUGUUGAAAUUUGAAGGAUAACAAAAUGAUGCAUGGUGCUGUCCUGGUCACUUUUAAACCUCACACCUACUCAAGUUGCUUCGCCAAUUUGAAUUUUGAAUUCGAUAAUCUAUGUUAGAUAGAAGUAUGGAAAUGUUUUAGUUUUUUUGUACUCUUUUUUCUUAUUAUAAUUUUUUUAUCUUAAUAAAGUAUGGGAUAGGUAUCCUUUCCUCUUCAUCAAAAUAGAUUCCUACAUUAUCUUUCAAUUAUUUUUCAUUCUCUAAAUAGCUUUAUAUCUAGGACCGGCAGCGGGUCAGGUUAUACUCGACCAUAUUCGUUUCCAUAUCAAAUUCAGAUUAAAUUCGAAUACUAUUUUUUUGGUCUAAUUGGAUUCAUAUAUAGAUCCAAAUAGUCAAUUCAAAAUCUCCCAAAUACGGAUACGGAUGUAGAUAUAUCUAAAUUUUUUGGAUCCGGAUCCAGAUAUCCAUAUAACAAGAGUAAGUGAAAAGAAGAAGUGUAAAUUAAGUUAAAUCAAGGAACCAAUUAAGUGAUUAACCAAACCUAAACUAAAAGAAAUCUAAAUAUCGGAUGACAUUCACUUAAGACAGUAACUCGUAUACAAAAUACCAAUAAAAUUCUUCGAAUCACCUCACACGCUUGAAAGAAUCAAGCCUUUUGUUCGUAUAUUUCAUCCCUCUUUUUUUUUAUUGUCUUUAAGCAACUAGAGUUUCGAAAAUUUCGUCCACUUCCUAGUUUCCACUUGGCGAUUGUAACCGAUGACAACCAUGAAACGUUUUGGAGGCGUCAUAUAUCCCAUCUACUUUGAUGAAGAGUAACCUUGAGCGGUAUAUCUUUUAUAAAAUUGUUAAUUUUUAUUGUUAAUAAAUGCUUGUUAAAAUUAUAUUUUAAUUAAUUUUUUUUUAUGAUCAUGUCUUUAUUGCUAGUUUUCAUCAUUGAAUUUUUUUUCAAAUUUGAUUAAAUAUCUAAAAAGAUUUCCAAUUUAUAUCUAUAUUUGAAUAAAAAAAUAUGGAUAUGCUUAAUAUCCGAUUCAUAUCUGUAUCCAUUUAUAAUAAUAUGGAAGUGUUUAAUAUCCGAUUCAUAUCCAAAUCCAUUUUAAAAAAAUAUAGAUAUUAAUUUUGAUACCUAUUUAAUAUCCGUAUCCAUAUUUGUAUUUAUUAAAGAAUAUGAAUACAAAUAUGGUUAUAUCAAUAUCCAAUUUAUUUUCAGCCAUAAUUAUAUGGGUACCUUUUAGGCAUAAAAAUUUGUCCAUAGAGUUUACUCACCAUCAUCCUCGAUGAUUUUGUUUUUAUAUUAAAUAGAUGCGUUUAUAUUUUUGAAAACUCAACAAGGAGUCAUUGACUAGAAAUGAAUGUACGUGUUGGUUAAAGUUUAAAAAAGAGCGAUAAGUAGCUACAAUCCCAAAUUAUAGAGACACGCUGAUAAUCAAGGAUAAUAGAGGAAUAACUGGCUGCAAUUUGCAGGAUCCAAAUUAUUGUCCUGGUCACUUUUAAGGCUCGUUUGGUUUGCGGGAAGUAUUUUUCCUCCUAGGAAUAUGAUUCUUGGGAAGCAGAUUCUUAGGAAGAGGAUGCCUAGGAAAGUACUUUUGGUAUGUUUGGUUGACCAUGGAAAAGUGACAAAUUUCUAAAGUACUUAUAUUUGGUUGACCAUUCAUUUUCCUGGAAAAGUUAUGUAUAAUUUCUAUUAUAUCUUUAAUAAAAAUUAGGUCUUCAAUGCCUUUUUAAUGCUUUUUUAAUGCUGAAGGGCCUUUUUAGAAAAAAUAAAAUAGAUUUUUCCAUGAAAUGUGGGAAUCAUAUUUCCAUGGGAAUACAACUUUUCCGUCUUUUUUCUUUAAAAAUUCCAAUCAAACAAGAGGCAUCUUAUUACUUUUCCGUUGACCAUAUUUUUCCUCCUUCUUUUUCUGCGGACCAAACGAGCACUUAAACCUCACACCUACUCAAGUUGCUUUGCCAAUAUUUUAUCGGGCAAGGUCAAGUGCAUAGCUCGCUCGAUUCAAUGCACAAAGCAAGAAAAUGGGUAAAUUUGCUGCUGAGGAAUCCCAUAUAUCCAUUCGGAAUAAAAGAAAUGAAACAACAACAAAUCAAUACAGUGUUCAUGAGGCCUAAGUAUCUUAGGUAUCAAAUUACAUCCUAACUCCCCAUCAAUCUCUCUUCAUCACCCAUCUUCCUCAUCGCUGCUAGAAUCAGACUUGGAGGAAUUAUCCGACAAGAAAUGGGCCGGCAAGUUGGGGAACCUCAUAACUCUCCUCCCCCUCUCCGGCGACGCUGCCGCAGCCCCAGGCGGCGGCGGCAGCUUCUUCUUCUGCAGAUUCCUAGCAAUAUCCACACAGGCCCGAUCCACCAUCCCUAGGAAAUCCCUAACUAUUGUAAACAACUGAAGUGCAUGAGCUCCUUUGUCCUUGGAGGCCCCUGGUUGGUAGUACUCCGUAGUUCGCUUAACCAGCUCCAUUACCCCAACCUGCUCCUCUCUCAAUACCUCGAGCUCCUCCUCGGCCGCCUCCACGAACCCCCUCAUCUCCCGCACGAACCCACCGCUGCCGCAGCUCUCCAGGAACCGCCGAAUCUCUUUCACACGCGCUUCAAGCGACGAGCAUGUCGCUACGAGCUCGUCGUAGUCUAUCCCCGCCGCUUUCUUGACAUCGGCAAACUCCACACUGAUCCCCCCAACAAUGGGCAGCCCAAGCUUCAUGUACUCUUUUUCCUUCUCUUCCCUCUUCCCCGCGGGGCUCGUGGCCUCGCCGGAGUAAGCACCGCCUUGAUCACUCUUGUUCAUGCUGCUGCCGGAUCGGCGGAGGCUGUAGUUGCGGUUAACGGCGCAGCGCUUGCCUUCCGACCUGACGACCUCCUCCACAACGAAAUGGAGCAGCGUCGUGCUCCCGUCGGUGCUCUUCACGUCAGAAAGCUUGCAGAGGGCCUUGAGGUUGAAGGCCUGCGCGUUGCCCCGUGCUGUCCCGGCAUUCAUGCGGUUUCCGGCCUUCAGGACGGCCUCCAGUAGCUUCAAGAAGAGGCCGCGCUUCUUGAGCUCCUUGCAGGCCAGCUCGAGAGUCAGGAGGGACUGCUUGAGGUGGGCCACGUCCGGGCCGUAGUUGGCCCUGAAGAGCAUCGCAUCGAGGCGGGCGAAGGGGGAGGGGACAGCGCGCAGGAGGUGGAAGAGGAAGGACUCGGCGUCGGCGAGCUUGGAGGGGUUGCCGGAGAAGUCUCGGAUCAUGUCCUCCUCUUCCUUGCUCGGGGCAAGCCGGGAGAGCUUCUCGAGGCUGUCGGUGCUCAGGCCCCGGCCCUCCAGAAGGGCGUCGAGGAUGUCUUGACGGCUGAGGGCCAGCGAGCGGAGGACGAUGGCAAUGUUCUGGGACUUGCGGGAGUCGAGCAGGCAGAUCUGAGUGGCGGCGCCGCCGCCGGCGGUGGGGGAGGGGAAGGGUUUGGAGGUGUUAUUGGUUUCUCUGGGGGAUUUCCGGCUGGCAAGGGUGCCGAAGAGUGCUUCCAUGAUGCCUUCAUCAACCCUGCAUACCAAAUGAGCUUUGCAUUUAGAACGAAUAGUUUUCAUUGGAACGAUCAUUAAAUGCUCACAUAAUAACAGUCAAAAAGCAUUGUGAAAGCGAGCGAGGAUUUUAUUUGAGAGAGACCGCGAGAACGCUUCAGUCAAUUUAAAGUCAACUGUAAAGAUUUAGCUUGUGGCGAUAUUGACACUAGGGUUCAGGUUUAAAUCAAGCUAUAAUUAAGAUAGAAGUCAACUUGAAUUAGGUUGAACCUGUGCUCCAACUAUUGAACAAACAAGUUAUAAAUACUUGAACUCAAUUAGAUCUUAGAAGGGGUCCAUCAGAAGAAGAGAUGGAAAAUGAAAUGUGACAAAAAUUUUGAGUUAGAAUCAACAUUAACUGCAGGAGAAAUGAAUUAUAGGUGGAUUCCCUCCCAUCAAACCGAAGCUUUAAAUAAGGGGAUAUGAGUCGGUCGGAUACCCAACACCGAUGGGAGCAGAGUUGACUCAAAGAUUUUGCCAGUGGGUGUAAAAUUAUUAAAUGACAGGCAAAAGAUAGAAUAUGUUAAGGACAAAAUUUAAAUAUGCUUACCGGAAAUUGAAUAGGAGAGAUUUAUAGGUUAGGUUACCAACAUCAAAAAUUAAGUACAUCUACCCAAAAAAAUAUUAAAAUUAUAAAAAAAAUCAAGUGAGAUUUUAGAAACUAGGAAUGAGCAAAUGAGUUAGUUCAUAUGUCCAACUCGGCUGAGCCCCAAAUUUGGACCGAUUCUAUGAAAAACCGACGCCGGCCUACCCGCACUCUGACCUACCUUCCUUGCUUAAAAGGCCUACCCAAAAAAGAGAUGAAAAAAAGGCCUCUCCGGGUUUCAGAAAUCAAAAAUAACCUGUGCAUCGAGGGCUAUUUAUCUUUAUAUAUAUAUAUAUAUAUAUAUAUAUAUUAUUUAUUUAUUCUAUAUAUAUAUAUAUAUAUAUANNNNNNNNNNNNNNNNNNNNUAUAUAUAUAUAUAUAUAUAUAUUUAUUUAUUCUAACUUCCCCAUUUAUUCGGCGUGUGGUGGCCCCGCGGUGAAUUAAUGGAGGGCGCAAUUCUCUUGUGAAUUGUGAUAGGCUUAUCUAGAAGAUAUGCAAAAAUAGUAAUGUCCAGCUUACCUAAAUGAACCGCUGCGGAUCUUGUCCCAGACCAUUGAAUGAUCGGCGUUGCUCGGGUUCACCUUGUCCCAGUGCAAUGGUUUCAGCUUCUUGGGCCCGCCGUCCGACGCCUGUGCCGGUGCAGGCGGGGCCUGAAAGAUGAACUGGCGGCCCCGCUGCUGCCACGGGGCGGCGGCGGAGGAGGAGGCGACGCAUUUGCCUUCAUUACCGGCGGUGGGGGUGGGGGUGGUGGAGCCGGUGCCCUGGGUAGCGCAGGCAACGCAUUUGCCUUCAUUACCGGCGGCGGCGGCGGCGGUGGUGGAGCUGGUGCCCUGGGUAGCGCAGGCGACGCAUUUGCCUUCAUCACCGGCGGUGGGGGUGGCAGCGGUCCGGGAGGAAGAGGUGGAGGCCGUGGCGGCGAUGGGGUUGGGAUAUUGGGCGGCGGCGAAGGCGGACUAGGGGAACCGACAGGCCUCGCACGUGCCGCGAAGGAAUCGACGGCGACCACCGACAACGUCGACGACGAGCUCUGACUCGAAAUCCUCGGCUCAUGGAAGAUCCGUGAGGAGGAAUUGACGGAGCCAGGUGGAAGCAACGGGGCUUCUUGAAUUCUACGGUCGUUUCUUGUGCGCGAGCCGGGGUUGCCUUCUUCUUGGCGGCCCGGUGAUUCCAGCGCGAGGUUACAGUGACGGCACCUCUUCUGGCCCUCCUUAUUGAACUCCCUCCAAUAGAUAGCGUCGAGGCCAUUCUCGUCCACGAUCCCGCCCUUGAACGCAAGAUUCGCUCUCGACCGCUGCCGAUCUGCGCGAAAGCUUUUGCGGGAGUCCAUGACUUGUGCCUCGCGGCGCCGCUUGGCAGAGAACCGGUGGAAGGCGAAGAAAAGGAGCCCGCAGACAGCGAAGCUGCCGGCUGCGGUGGCAACGACAGCAGUGGUUACUUUGUUGUCUUGGCUCUUCGGGGGAGGCACGAUUGAUGGUUGGGAGUUGGGCGGCUGUGGGAAUGGCGCAGGUGGCGGCGGCGGCGGCGGCGGCGGUGGAGGUACCAAAUUGGGGAAAGCCGGCGAAGGGAGGGAGGGGAAGAAUGUCUCAAUAUUCCUAUUUGGAAGAGGAGGAGGAGGAGGAGGAGGAGGCGAGUUGGAUUGAAGAAGACGUCUCUGUGGAGACGAGGGAGAGAAAGGAUGAGACGCUGACGCUGCUGCGGAGCUUACAAAAGAAGAAGAGAAGAGGAGAAGGGAGAGAAGAAGCCAUGUCCCAAGGAUCGCAGCCAUGAAAAGAAACUGGGACGGCACGGGGGAUUUCUUUGAAAAGAAAGAGAAGGGAUGACCGCGUCGGGAACUUGAUCUUAUGUUCUUUGUUUUAGGUGAGGGUGGAGGUUGAGUGUCCUGUUUUCGUCUACUUAACUCGUUUUGGUUGACGGCUUCAACGGCUAUAGUGGUUGCUUAUCGCCGCUCGUGGUGGGUUGGGUUUAUCCCAUUUCCUGGCUGCGUCCUUUGUUUAAAAGACCAAAUACUCCUUAUUCCGAACCCAUUAUUCCAGAUAGAGACACUAAUGCUGGAAUUGAAAUUUAUGUCAAUUUGUGAGAUCCAUGCAAUAGACGGUUGGGAUUUAAGAUAAAUCACCAACCCUGCAAUGGAGAUAUUAUUAUAUCAUCAGGUUGAACGCCAAAGAGAAUCUGUCAUAUAGCAAGCACCACGCUUGCAUGAUAAGGUUUCUACCAAGAGAGAGUGGGGGAAAAAGCGCAAUCAUAAAGUCAACUUCACCCGUUCUUUCCCUCGAAGCCGCUGACUUGAUCUUUUGCUACUCUUCUAGAUCUAAAGGUAAAACCAAGGACUCGUUAAAAGCGUUUGUCGGUUAGGUACGUACGAGGCAUUAUUAAAAAGCUUAGAAUGUUUCACCUUUCUUCUUCUUGCGAGAGCCUCCAUGACGUAAAAAUUUCGAGGCUGCUAUCCCGCGCUUCGCAUGUUGAACUCUUCAGAUAUUCAGAUUUCUUAUGACUUUUUAUAUGUAAACCGUUGCCUUAGUCAUGACUUGGUAAAAUAUGCAACAACAGAUUAUAGUUUAGUGGCACAUUGCACCCAUGGUUGCAAACAUGCUCCAAAUAUUCAUGGGCACACCUUAUCUUAUUCUGAAAUUGCUACCUUUUUUUUUAAUAAAGAGGAAGGCAAAGUCACCUGGCCUUUAUUAGAAAAGAAAAAUUUACAUAAACUAUUUAUAAAAAAUUUGCAAGAAAGAAAAAUAUAAAAGAGCAAUAAAAAUCUUUUAUAAAAGAUAGCGGUCAGUAAGUUGACCUGUUGAACUAUUCAGCAAGCGGAAUAAUCUUCUAUGUGAUUUGAAAGAUCUCUGUAUCUUCAGUGCACAACUAUAUAAGCUCUGUAUCCUGAUAAGAGUUAGGUUUCUUCUAAAGAUAGAUCAAUAUCUCUCAACAUGCGGCGCCAAUGUUGUAAGAUUAUUUCAAAGUUGUAGAUAAGGAUCAAGCAUUAAGUAACAUUCAACCAAAAAUAAUUUCAUGGGAAAUAGCCAUGCUCUUUCACCACUUUAACCCCGCCAAAAACAUACCUAGGAUGCCAUCCAUCGGCAAUGUCACAAUUGAUGCAUCAAGAAAGUUAUUGGCAAAACAAUUAUCUAUAUUAGUACUAUGUUGGAACUCUUCAACUACAAUCCAAAACUUUUUUUUUACUUUUGAGCAAAGACUAUGAUAACUUGCACCCAUGUUCUCUCCAAUUGCUUAAUCUGCCUUUGUUGUACACAACUUUCUUAUCAUUACGAUGCAUUGCCGCUUUAUCUCUCUGUUUAGGAAAUCAGAAUGGUGAUUUUUUGAGGGGAAGGGGGCGGGUAGAACUAGUUAUGUACUCUCAGACUAAAUCAACAUCUAAAUGUUAAUCCAUCCUUGUACAACAAGCAAAUUAGUCAUGCACAAGGAUAAAGGGGUAAUCUUCAGAUAAAUGGCUUGCACUCCUCUAAUUAGAUUCUAAACUACUUGAUUAAAGGAUCCUGACCAGAAACUUGUUUCUAGAGGGGAAAAGAGAAAGCAAAAUGGAUGAGAAUUCGAAUGCAGGUAAAGACUUUGGACCAUCGACAGCAAAUGCAUGGAAAUAUCGAUGUUAUGAAUAUAUACAACCAAAUGCCUUUCAAGUAUAAAAUGAGGUCCGUUGGAAAGUAACAAAUUGAAGUAUCAAGCACUUUUUCAACCAAAAAGAAAUAUCCAGCACUUUAGCAUAGAACUGGCAAAAGAAAAUUAUAUUAUAUGGCAUUCUCACCUUUCAACUAGGAUCCGAAUUGGAAAAUAGUAACAGUGGCUCAAAUAGGCAAAACAGAUCAGUAGACAAGCACUUUCAUUAAUAAAACUGAUACAGAACCAGUACUGAUAUAAGUCUGCAUGCAAAAUAGUCUCAGUUGGAGCUGCUAUCGAACAGAUAACUGGCCACAAAUCCAGUUAUUUUAUUAUAUAAUAGAAGAAACAUGUCAUUCAUGCAUAAAAGAAUACCAAAAAAUAUCAAUUAAAAAAGAAACUAAUUUAAUCCGCGCUUAAAAUAUUAUGAGAAGCAAAAAUAGCUCUUGUAAAAACAUAACACGGUAGAUUCUAAGAUAGGAGAAUGUAUAAAACUAAAGCAUGAUAAAUAGAUUAGAUAACGAAAAAAAACAUCCAUCACUAGUUUAGGGGACAUUGGAAAUAAAUUUCUUCUUCUCAUUAUCUAACAAUGUAACCAGAGAGAGUUACUUCAAAUUCAGCAAGCUAGAACACCCACCUCAGCUCAGAUGAAUGGCCUCAUGCUUAAAUUUAUCAUGCAAAACCCACAUAAUGAAAUCACAAUGUUGCUUUGGAAACAUAUACAACUGAUGGGUACUUAAAUUGACUGAACCAGAUAUCAUCCAUCAGAAAAAAGUGCAAGUCUGAUAAGACAUACCAUAUCACACUUAACUCUUAGACCUCCAAUUUUUUUGCAUUUGCCAAGUUCUUUAUGACAAAAGAACUUGGGCCAGUUGGACCCUCCAUGGAAGGAACCAGUAGAGCAUUAGGGGUAGCUGGAGUUCUAGUUUAGUCUAGAUUAGUUUGAUCAAUUUAUUUUAUUUGAAUUAGUUAGCAUAUUUUGAUUUAUGUUAUCUUGGAACAAUUGAUUAUGAGAAUAAUUUUAUUUAGAUCUUGAUUAAAUCAGUUUUCGAGACUAAAAGAAUUAUUAUUAUUGCUUGUAAUUAUUAUGAUUUGAUUUGUAGCCUUGUAGGCUAACAUGAUCCGUCCUAUUGGAAAAAUUAAAUACGCACAGCUUUUUGGGCCGCGUGUGCGUUUGCCGCUGGAAAUUACUUGAGUCAGCGCCUGCACUUAAUUACCGCGGAUGCAUCCACGCCUUCCGCGGAGGCAUCCGCAAAGAAACCAAUAAGCCUCUGUAAUCACUUCUAUAUAUACCCUUCAAUUUCAUGCUAUUUGGUACACAAAAAAUUAAAGAAAAAUACCAAAAAAAUUCUAGAAAAAAGUUCUUCCUCUUAGCCACUUUUGAUUUUUAUUUUUGUAACUCUAUUUAAUUUAUUUAUUCUUUUUAUUUCGUUCUUCGCUGGAUCUGUAAGUUCGAUCGGAUUCGAUUUGGCUUCUUCCGAGACGCACCGAAGAAGAAGUUUAGGAUCGUCGUACCUCUGAGAAGGAUUGCCAGGAGACCCGUACGUGGGGGUAAACACUUGUUUGGGACAACGAAGAAGUGAUUGUUAACAAUCCAAAGAAGGUAUUAAUUGUGAUUAUAGAUUUAUUUGCUUAUUUAGGUGACAUAUUGCUAACAAUCCAAAGAAGUGAUUGUUUAUUUUUUUUGUUAGUAAUAUAUAAUUCAAUAAAUCAUUCUAAAAAGGUAAUAAUUUUGUUUAACCUCCAAGAGAUUUAUCAUACCUCUAUUUGGACUCCUCAAGAAGUAAUUUUCAGAUCCCAUUCAAACGAAAAAUUCGAAAAUUGGUUAAUACAUAAAAAUUAAUUCAUUGAAUUGACUUAUUAGAUCUCAAUCAAUUAUUCUAAUAAGAUAAUAAAUUAUAUAAUUCAUUAUAUUGACAUUUUAAAUCUCAAUUACAAUAAUGGAUUUGCUACCACAAAAUUAGUAAUUAAUUAUUCUAAUAAGGUAAUAAAUCAUAUAAUUCAUUGAAUUGAUAUUUUAGAUCUUAAUUACAAUAAUUGAUUUGCUGGCACAAAAUUAGUAAUCAAUUAUUCUAAUAAGAUAAUAAAUCUUAUAAUUAAUUAAAUUGGCAUUUUAGAUUUCAAUUACAAUAAUUGAUUUGCUAGUACAAAAUUAGUAAUCAAUUAUUCUAAUAAGGCAAUAAAUUAAUUUUAAUAUAUAAUUCAUUGAAUUGACAUAUUAGAUUUCAAUUACAAUAAUUGUCUAGCUAGCACUAAAUUAAUAAUUAAUUAUUACUAAUUCGAAAAAUUAAAAUAGAAAAUUCGAAAAUUGAUUAAUCCCUAAUAACAAAUUUAAGUUUGUAUUUAGGCUUUUAUAAAAAUUGAAUUUAUGUGAUUUCUAGUGAUUAUAUCCACUAACUAAUAGUAUCAAAGAAUAGUUUGUCAAAAAGGCAUACGUGCCUAAGAAAGGCUAGUACUUAAGUGAGCCUAGUGCUCCACUACCGAUCUGGAGCUAAUCUGACUAUUAUUUUUUGGAUAUAUCAACUAGACAUUCAAAAUUCAAUACAAAUUUUAGGGUAAUCUUUUGACAUAAAUUUUUGGCUUCAUUCAGGUUUCUGUCCAUUCUCUAUAACCUUGAACCUAUGGCCUCUAAUACUAGUAAUCACCUUAGUGCCAAACCUGAAAAAUUUGAUGGCCAUACUUUAGAAGGUAGCAGAACCAAAUGCGGUUCUGGCUCACCACAUUAGGGUUGAUCUCGGCCAUAGAUGAGAGCACUACUAAAGUUGAUAACAAAUCCAAUCCAACUACUUCACGACCUGCUACUUGCCAAAACCCAAACCCAAAUUGGAGUUCAUCCUCCUCCAAACUGAACCUUCUGUCUCCACCAGUAUAUCCUCUAGGACACCUGAUGAGAUAGACUAUCAUUGCAUCUAUAUAAUUCUAGGUGCCCUUUCUGAGAGGCUGUAUAACAUUUAUUAACUCUACCACUCCAGAAAUCCUAACCACCACAAUGGAAAACCAAUCCAAUUCCAAGAGCAGAAAAAGAAGAAAGAGGAAGGCGGUGUUCAUUUCUGUUAUGUGCGUGGUCGGACCAACCAUCUAGCUCCCCAGUACUUCUAUAAUAAGACUGCACCUUUUCAAUCCAAGAAGAAAGGUCUACAUACAACCAGUGCUUAAGUCAAUAUGGUGACUUCUGGCGCAGGCUCUUCUGAGACUUCUUUCAGGUCUGUUUUCUUCACUCCUAAAGUUAACAUGACUUUACAAGCACUUGAUUGAUGGAUUGAUACUGGAGCUGGUAUUCACAUUUGUUCGGAUCGCUCCUGGUUUUCUUCUUACCAGAUCUCAAGUGGAGGAACUGUGAUAAUGGUAAAUAGCUCGGAGGCGCGUGUGCUAGGAGUGGGACGUGUAGACUUAAAGCUUACCUCUGAAAAAGUUCUGUCCCUGCACGACAUCCAACAUGUUACAAUUGUUAGGAAAAACCUCAUUAGUGGUUCCUUGCUUGUCCAGCAAGGCUUUCAUCUUAUUUUUGAGUCCAAUAAAGUUGUAAUUUCUCAUAGUGUAAUAUUUAUUGAAAAAGAAUUCCUAAGUGAAGGAUUGUUUAAGUUGAAUGUAAUAAUUCCUUCAAUAAACGAAAAUCUUUUGAUCAUGAAUAUAGAACUUUUUUUAUUUGGAUUCAGAUAUAUUAGAGUUGAUUCAUAGUGAUGUUUGUGACUUAGAUCAGAUCGGAGAGGUGAAUAAACAUCUAAUGAGAUAACUCAAUUUUGUGAAGAUCAUGGAAUCAUUCAUGAAGUGACUGAUCCCUAUUCUCCCCAAUCAAAUGGAGUAGCAGAAAGGAAGAAUAGGACUUUAAUAGAUAUGGUUAACUCCAUGCUUAUAAACUCAGGAGUACCAAAAAAUUUGUGGGGGAAAGCUCUAGUUUUAACUUGUUAUAUCCUCAAUAGGAUUUUCUCCAAAAAUAAUGAUCUAACCCUAUAUAAAGUUUGGAAAUAUAAAGAACCUAAUCUUAGCUAUUUAAAAGUGUGGGGGUUCUUCGCAAAAGUAAAAAUACCUAAUUUUAAGAGAAAAAAAUAGGACCCAAAAUAGUAGAUGCCAUAUUCAUAGAAUAUGCAACCAAUAGAUUUCUGGUAAUUAAUUCAGAAAAAAUGAUAUUAGUAACAAUACUAUUAUAGAAGCCAGAGAUGUAAUAUAUUUUGAAGACACCUUUUUACUUAGGACUAGAGUAGAUAGUGGUAUAGGUAGUAGCUCUAGUAGAAUAAAGACAAGAGAAAUAGAAAUAGAAGCAGAAUCUAGGAGUAAGAGAUCCAGAAUAGAGAAAACUUUUGGAGAUGACUUCUAUACCUUUCUUAUAGAGGACUCUCCAACUACUUUUGAGGACGCAAUGAAAUCCUUGGAUUCACUUUUUUAGAGGGAAGCUGUAGACAAUGAGAUGCAGUCAAUUAUUCAAAAUAAUACUUGGGUAUUGACUGAUCUUCCUUAUAAAUGUAAAACUAUAAGGUACAAAUGGAUCUUUAAGAAGAAACUUAGGCUUGAUGGCUCUGUAGAUAAAUUUAAGGCUAGAUUAGUUGCCAAGAGUUUUACACAAAGACCUGGGAUAGAUUUCUUUGAUAUCUAUGCACCUGUAGCUAGGAUUACUACUAUUAGGGUCCUGAUAGUAUUAGGCUCAAUCCAUAAAUUAGUGAUUCAUCAGAUAGAUGUGAAAACAACUUUUCUAAAUGGAGACUUAAAUGAAGAAAUUUAUAUGGUCCAACUAGAGAGAUUUAUAAUUCUAGGCUAAGAAAAUAAAGUUUGCAGACUAGUCAGAUCUCUCUAUAGUCUUAAAUAAGGACCCAAGUAAUAGCACUUAAAAUUUGAUGAAAUCAUACUAACAUUUGGAUUUGAAAUCAAUAGUAAAGACGAAUGCAUAUACCAUAAGAGAAUUGGAAAUAAAUUUGUGAUCUUGUGCCUCUAUGUAGAUGACAUACUGAUCUUUGGGACAGAUCUUCAGAUAGUUGAUGAAGUAAAGCAAUUCUUAAGUCAUUAUGUUGAUAAGAUUCUCAAUAAAUUUAAUUAUACCAAUUGUCAGCAUGUCUCUACUCCUUUUGAUCCCUCUACAUACCUUAAGAAGAACUGAGGAACUCCUAUCCUUCAAGGCCUAUAUGCUCAAAUUAUAGGCUCACUAGGAUUCCUAGCAAACUACACCAGGCUAGACCAAGCAUAUGCUGUGAAUAGACUUAGCAGAUAUACUGUUAAUACAAAUAGAGAUCAUUGGACAACAUUAGAGAGGAUCUUUAGGUAUCUUAAGGGUAACAAGUUCCUAUAGUUUGCACUUUAGUGGGUUUUCUGUUGUUCUAGAAAGCUAUAGUGAUGCCAACUGGAUCAGCGAUACCUUAGAUGUUAAAUCCACCAUAGGAUAUGUCUUUCUCCUAGGAGAUGCUGCUGUGUCUUGAAAAUCUACUAAACAAACCUUGAUAUCUAGGAGUACCAUGGAGUCUGAACUGAUAGCUUUAGACACCACUAACACUGAGGCUGAGUGGCUCAGAGAUCUACUAAUAGCCUUCUAGUAGAUGAGUUACCUUUACUACCUAUCUCCUUACAUUGUGACUGUAAAUCUGCAAUAGAUAAGUGCAAUAAAAAAAUGCCAAUGUAAAAAUAAACAGGCACUUAAAAGUAUGUAAUAAAUUAUUAAGAUAUAAAUUGAAAAAUAAUAUUAUUGCUUUGAAUUUUGUAAAAUCAAAAAAUAAUUUGGCUGAUCAGCUUACAAAAGGUUUGUCUAGAACAGUAGUUCUAGAGUCGUUGAGGGGGAUGGGGCUUAGCCUAUAAAGAUAGAUCACCACGGUGGGAACCUAACCUUAAAAAGUUCAAUAGGUAGAAACAAACCGGAGUGUGACUAAGAGGAGCUUUGUUUCAUGUUUUCCUCAUCCCUAUGGCUUAGUGCUCAUAAAAGCAAGCGGUAGGAUGAAUUUGUUUGUAUAACUCUUAAUGAGUCUGAGACUCAAGAGGCAGGAGCUUCCUUGCUAGUUUCCUUAUUAGAACUCACCUAUAUGUGCUGUCGUGAGGCUGCGAUUGUAGGAAAUAGGUGAUUUCCUAAAAAGCACAUGAAAGAUACCUGCGCAUGGCCAUAUUAGUGCAACCCGCUUAGAACCCAGAUCGGACUAUAUUAUGUGUGCUGUUGAUUUAAUCUGAGCCAUGAAUCGAGGUUCAAGGUUAAGACCGCCUUGGCUCCACAGAUGUAAUCAAUUGUCACCAAGUAAAGGUUUAAAUCGAAAAGUACCUGCACCUAUUACAUAAUAUAAGAUAUCCAACAUUUUGUUUUGAUUUUAAAAUUAUUUAAAAAUUAAUUUUUGUGGGGGAUUGUUGGAAAAAUUAAAUGCGCACGCGGCUUUUAGGGUCGCGUGCGCGUUUGCCAUUGGAAAUUACGUGAGCCAACGCCCGUGUUUAAUUACCGCGGAUGCGUCCGCAAAAAGACCAAUAAGCCCCUGUAAUCACCCUUAUAUAUACCCCUCAAUUUCAUCCUCUUCGGUACACACGAGAAAUUAGAGAAAAAUAUCAAAAAAAUUCUAGAGAAAGUUCUUCCUCUUAGCCACUUCUGAUUUUUAUUUUUGCAAUUCUAUUCAGUUUAUUUUAUUCUUUUUAUUUCAUUCUUCACUAGAUCUAUAAGUUUGAUCGGGUUCGAUUUGGCUUAUUCUGAGACAUACCAAAGAAGAAGUUGAGGAUCGUCGUAUCUCUGAUGAGGAUUGCUGGGAGACCCAUACGUANNNNNNNNNNNNNNNNNNNNNNNNNNNNNNNNNNNNNNNNNNNNNNNNNNNNNNNNNNNNNNNNNNNNNNNNNNNNNNNNNNNNNNNNNNNNNNNNNNNNNNNNNNNNNNNNNNNNNNNNNNNNNNNNNNNNNNNNNNNNNNNNNNNNNNNNNNNNNNNNNNNNNNNNNNNNNNNNNNNNNNNNNNNNNNNNNNNNNNNNNNNNNNNNNNNNNNNNNNNNNNNNNNNNNNNNNNNNNNNNNNNNNNNNNNNNNNNNNNNNNNNNNNNNNNNNNNNNNNNNNNNNNNNNNNUGGACAUUAGGAUACCACUCAAACGCCACCAGAUGGAUAAAUACUACUGCAAACGUUGGAAGCUUUUCCGUGCUUGCUCUAUAUAUAGAAAGAUAGGGAGGAGUUAGGGUUUAAUGAGAUGAAGGGGGAAUUUGAACAAAGAAUGGAGUUGAGUAAGGUUUCAGAUUGGGAACUGUUACCUGCUUCCUGAGCAGAAGAGGCCAAGUUGAAGCGAUGGCUUCGAAGAGAGAUUCAGAGAGAGGGGUCAAUCGCUAUGGAUUCGAAUCGAGGAGAAACAAAGGGGAAGGAGGAGGAUUAGAGAGACCGGAGCCCCGUUGUUCUCGUUCCCAACCUCCUAUAUAUUGGAGGAGAAAAAGAUAAAACUAAUUUUACCCUAUAAAUUUUAGUUGGCUUUAAUAUUUUAUUAUUUUUUAGAUAUGUGAAAAUAAAAUUUAUUGUAUAAAAAAAUUCUUCCUACGAAGCUUAAAUUACCCUUGGAGGGUUAGGCCGAGCCAAAAUUUUGUAUCUUGAGAACAAAAUCAUCAUAGACCCGCACAUAGAGAGCAAAUCGCAUUCUUAGGACAGUGUAUGUCAUAUACUUCUAUCAAAGCAAAGUCUUUUUAAUUGUUUAUUUUUUAUUUUUUAUAAUAUUAUUUUUUAAAAAAUAUAAAUAAUAUAUAAAUUAGCAAUAUAGCAAUUUCUAUAUGUAUAUUCUGUUAAUAUAAAUUAUACCUUAUACCGAAUGCACCAACAUGGUCAUGCACCUCGCCAAUUACCGUUACUUCUUCUUGUGCAAAAAGAAAACAACUAAACAUGACAAUUUAUGACUUGAUCCGUCGACCCAACUCAUAAACAACCAGUUUUAAGUAGGUUCGGAUUUGACAUAAAUAAAUUUGAGUUACAAAUCGGUCAACCUAUUUAAAUAUGUUUAUUAAAUUUGGAUUCAGAUUUAGAUCUUUAACCUAUUUAACCAGUUUAAAAUCUGCUUAACCUAUUUCCGUCUGGUUUAACUCAACCCACUUAACUUAUUUAACCCAUUUAAAUCUAUUUAAUAUGUUAAAAAUCUACUUAAUCUGUUUAAUCUAUUUAACCUGACUUAAUCUAUUUAAUAAAUGGAUUAUGCAGGUUGGGUCAAAUUACCUAUUUAAUAAACAAAUUGGGUUUAUAUCUGAAUUGCUGACUUAUAUAAUAAAUAUGUCAGAUUUGGAUUGAUGAAUUUUUGACCUGACUUAUAUCUAACCUGACUCGUACUCGAGCUGACCCAAACUAAUUACCACUCUAGAGACGUCAUGUUGGUGCACACAUUGUAGGGUAUGAUUUCUCGUCGGAUAUAUCGGAAGUUAAAAUUGAAAAUGACUUGAAUGUCUGAAGGAAUUAAAGAAAUUCGUCAAAUUUUAAAAAUAAUUAAAGAGGUCCAAAGACGCCGCUCCGCCCUCCUCUUCUUGCAAACAUCCUCAUCCCGGAGAAAUCAUAUCCAGCACCCGGUGCACCUGUUCAGCAUUAUAUCGAGUUAAUAAAAUUUCACCACAUCCGUUGAGAUUGUUACUGAAUUAAAUAAUAAUAAUAAUAAUAAUAAAUGAAUAAAUAAAUAAAAGAGUGAGCUGUCGAGGACCUGAGUGCAAGCUCUAUGGUUUUUUUAGACUAAAUCAUGGGUUCCCUUCUUUAGGUAGCAAAGCGACUUUCCUUUUCCCACUUGAGGGGGGCUUUUUUUGGAGAUCUUUAAAAUAAUAAUAAUAAUAAUAUUACUUUGUCCAUGGCGAUGAAUCAUAGGAUGAUUUGGAACUUUCAAAACUAUACAUUAGCCGAGGGCAGUUUAGGAUGGUCUCAGCCACAGAGGGAGUUUCUUGAGGGCUGGAUCCAGAGGCAGGUUGGGACUAUAGCGUUAAACUUUUUGAUUCAGAACAUUUCGCGUCAGACAGGUGGUUGUUAUGCCUUUAUAGUAAGGCAUGUUUACUGAGCGAUGAAUAAUGUGGCGGACUGAAUGACCUCAUUUGCUGCGGAUCAUUCAGAAGGGUUUUUCUGGUCUUUGGAGGCUCAGGUACUCAAAGCAUUUAGAGAUAUUUUAUUUUUUGAUUUUCGUGGCUAUAUAUAAAUGAUAUGGUGGGCACCACAUUGGGAGUUGGCAUGUGAAUGGAACAAGACCAAUAAUACAAGCACUUCCAUCCGUUCAAUUACAUAAGUUGUAGCUGUAUAUACAAUAAAUUGUUCCAUAAAUCCACAGACUCCGGACAACCAUGGACCACCAUAUGAUCACAGAUGGCUAUAAAUUUGGAGACGGACAUCUUAAGUCCAAUCCCGAAUUGGAGAGGAUUAACAACUGGGUUUCAAGUCCUCCCCGUUACAAAUGACGUAAUGAAACUCCAUUACAUCCCUCAAUUGCCAUCUUAUCAUAGAUAUAUAUAUAUUUUAAAUUAAAUUUUAGUUAUUCAAAAACCUUCUACAUUACAAGAUCCCUGGGAUAGUCAUAAAGUGGUUUUGCAUUCACUAUAUAAAUCAACAAAACUAUUUAAUUGAAUGGUGAUCCCUAUGUUUGAAGAUUUAUAUUGUAGAGGGACUGCAAAAUAAUUUUCUAUGUUGCUGUACAAAUUUUGUAGACUUGAUAGAGUAGUUGAUUAUGAGCUUGCUUAAAGUUGUUAGGUGUUGGAGCUCUUUAUCUUACAAGAUCCAUAUAACAAUCAUGAAAUGGUUAUGUGGGCACUAUUUGGAUCAUUAGACAAUUGAAAUUAAAUAGAAAAUUAAAAUUUUAAGUAAUAUUUUAAUUGCUUAAUGGCCUUGUAUUAGAUCUAUAUAGUGACUGCAUAACAAAUUUGUGGUUGUUACAAAAUCACUUUCUUGGUUAGAACUUCUAUCAUGUAUGAAAUCAAUAAAGUAAGUUCUAAUUUAUAUGAAAUAUGUAUAUGGAAGAUACAUCUAAAAAUGGAUUUUUAAUGAUAUCUAGCUCCAGUUCACAAGUCCAAUGAAUUAGACCUAAUAAUAAUAGAUUUCCAAUAAAGGAACAUAUCACAUGAUAUGAUAGUAUGAAUGCAAUAAUAGAUUCUGAAUUAAAAAAAUAAAAUUAUCAAAUUAUAUAAAUUAUUGUCCAACAAUACCGAGAAUAUACAACCAUCAAAAAUAUGACUAGAAAAUGGUGUUUUAGGUAUUAUAUCGGAUGCAUCGACCAUUUUCCUAACACAUUGUAGGUCCAUUGUGCUUACUUUUUGAACAUCUCCAAAAUUAAUAUGGAAAAGAUUUUGUUCUAAACACAGUCAUGACAUGUAAUUUAUUUUGUCAACUCCUAAUCCAAUGCGACUCCUUUUGCAAAGCCCUCGCAAGAUGGGAAAAUUAUCCUUCUUUUCUAUCUAAUCAUCAAUGGAGGUGUUGUGGUUCAAAUCUGGCCCGAGGGUGACCACACCGGAGGUGUCGGAGGAGCUGCCGGAGUGUGAAAGGAGAGGACAGGGGCCACCUCCUGUGCGGCGAUGUACCUGCACAAAGCGUCACCAGUGGAGUUCCGGUGAGGACCCUCCGACGCUCAAGUUAGAGUGGGAUGAAUUUGGUCUAGCCAAAAGUCCUUUAGGCAUUACCUGAUGGAGCUAUUUAUAGUCUCCGUAGAGGUGCCCAGGUAGCGGAGGUAUGGCCUAUCCUCAUCAUGGGAGGAGAUAGCUUUUAGCUAGACGGCGCGCAACUAGAGCUUGCUUGAGGCACACGACGUAGGCCGUUCUUAUGAACAGUAAGGCGUUGGUAGAUACGACAAGGCAUGGCUGGGGAAGCAGGGCAUGGUCCCUGGCUAAUAUGUCGUGGCAUGGCUAGCAAAUAAAGCAUGAUGCGGUGAGGCUGCUACAGGGCAUGGCCGCAGCAUGUGGACGACGAGGUUGGUCUGCUGAGGUCGGCCUUCUAGAGUUGGCCUUCUGAGGUCGGCCUUCUGAGCUCGGCCUUUUGAGCUCGGCCUUCUAAGGUCGGCCUUCUGGGGUCGGCCUUCUGAGGUCGGCCUCGGCCUUCCAGAAUUGGAUGACUUCAUGCCAAAAAAUAGGACGAUCCAUUUUGCCCCCCAUCAUUGCCCUCCGACUUUCGAGUUCGAGUGGUUUGUUGGAUCGAGCGAAGGAAGUAGCCGAAUCGUUAAUCGUCCUAUAAUUCAGUCAAAUAUUUGUGAAGAUAUAUGUGCCAAGUAAGAUGUACCUCUCAUGUCGUUGAAGCUAACGGUUUUAGGCCGAGCUUUCCGAGCCGAGCUAAGCGACUCUAGUCUGAGGUCGACUUCGGCGGUCUUUUUUGACUCGUGGUCGACUCAGCAGGGUGCCCCCACUCAAAUCGGGGUGCGUCGUCGCAGAAGGCAUCGAAUUGGCAUUGAAAUGACGUCGAAGUAGCGUCGAAAUGACGUCGAUCACUUAGAUGAGCUCGAGAGUAGAAGAGCUCGAGUGUAGAAGAGCUCGAGUGUAGAAGAGCUCGAGCACUUAGAUGAGCUCGAGAAUAGAAUCCAGCUCGGAGGUAAGCACCAGCCCGAGAAUAUAGAUGGGGGGGGGGGCGACGUUGGAGAUGGAGAUACCUGUAGGUCGGCUUUUGCAUUCUUCGACUUUGAAAUAUGUGAAAUAUUGAAAUUAUUUAAAGUCGAAGUGGCGUUCCGUACCUUUUGAAGAUAUUUUGAUGGCUUUCGAGCUUCGAGGUCUCUCAGGACUUGGUUCAGCACCGGCUGGAAGUCGUUGGAGGCCGUUAAGCGGCAGGCUUUGAGCUCUGGGCCGCGUUGCUACCCCCCGAGGUCGAGGAGCCAUGAUCAUGCAGGAUCCAUGGCUACCCAAGUGCAUUUUCUUUUGCCAGGCCGGACCUGAUCUCGUUGUUGCCUUGGUUGGCCAAGAAUAGCGUUGUAGGCCGAGCUGACCCUUCGGAAGGCAUUACAAAAUAAGACGUCAGCCAAGCUUCCAUUGUAUACUAAAACCCUUUUUACAUCAAACCUUGCAAUGAUAAAAAAAUAGCUACAACGUCCUCAUAAAAAGGGCUCAAUACCCUUUUGGUCUUCAUCGGAAAAGGAGAUGACUUCCAUAGUGCACUGAUGCUUUGAGGAAGCUCCUUCUCCCGAGCUCGAUGCUUCAGGUGCCUUUACUCGCCCGCCCUCUGAUGGUAUUGAUGAUACUCGCAAGAGGUCAGUUGUCAUUCCGCUUCUCAUGCGGCAUUGGAUUUUGUUCCUCGGGCUCUCUCCUGUAGGCCUGCUUACGGACAAAACAACUCAACCGACCUCGGCGGACAAGUACCUCGAUCUCAUCACGGAGCUCAUAGCAAUCCUCUGUAUUAUGGCCGCGAUCUCAGUGAAAGUGGUAGUACAUUUUCGAGCACUUCUGCGACUCUGUUGGUCGCAUCCUCAAUGGAGGUCGGAGGUAGCCCUAACCCUCAAUCUCCAUGAGGAUCUCUACUCAGGUGGAUGUAAGAGGAGUGUAUGUCUGAAACUUUUGAAGGGGUAACGUCGAGCGAGCUAGGCUCUUGGGCCAAGGAGGAUAUUUCUCGCGCUAGGAGAAUUUGUUGCUUAGUUGGGAGCAUUCCUCGUGGCGCUUCUUCUGCAUGUUGGCAGGUCGUUCGACUGCCUCCCACCGAGAGGCCAUAACUUCCUCAGCCUUGGCGUACUUGCAAGCUCGGGCCAACAUUUCAGCAAAGUCGGCGGAAAAGCUCUUCUCGAUGGAGAAGAGGAAUUCGUAGGACCGAGCUCCAGUCUUCAAUGCCGACAUGGUGAUUGACUGGUCGAGAUCGUGAAUCUCCCAUGUGGCCGAGGUAAAGCGAUCGAUGUAAUCUUUUAAGAAUUCUCUUUCCUUCUGCUUGAUGGCGAAGAGGGAGUCUGAGGUCCGGCGCUGACACCGGCCGGCGGCAAAAUGGGUGGCGAACUACCUGCCCAGCUGCUCGAAAGACGAGCUGCCUUACGGAGAGUCACUAGGAAGGCUCUGCAGAGUAGGACGUCUGUGGCCCCUUGGAGUAUCAUAAGGGCCUUGUAGCUCUCCAAAUGAUUUAGAGGAUCAGAUGAGCCAUCAUAUAGCUCAAUCUACAGCAUCUUGAACUUGUGGGGGUUCGACUCAUCCACGAUCCGUUGAGAGAAUAGAGACUUGGUUGUAAAGUCGAGGUCGGCAUCUCGCUUCAGGGCUCGGUCUCGGAGCGUCUGUAUCUGCCGCUCCAAGUCCUGACUUUUCUACCGAGCUCGGGCGGGGCUUCCGUUGCAGCUCGGCAUGGGGCAGACCCCACCUCAGAUGGUUGCUUCCAUGCUCGAGGCGUUAGACUUCGGCGCGAGCUCUCAGGAUAAUGGCUAUGUGACAAGCCCUCCCAGCUUGGAGACCAAGCUCGGUGGGAGCUUCGGUGAUGGCGAUGCUCUGCAGAAGAGCAACGUCGCGAGCGCCGUCGUGAGGACUUGCACCCAUGAGAAGGGAGUGUAGGAUGGGCUCAUGCCCGCUGCAGAGCUUAAACGGUCAUAGUGAGUGCUUGGAUUUGCUGGACAAGUAGACUAAAUUGCUCCGACUGGACCUGAGGAGUUCGUUUAUGCAGGGGGUGGACUUUGGAGGGAGCUGUGGGAGUUAGUACCCAGCACCUCGAUGUGUUUGAAGCUCCUUGACCCCUCAACUUCAUGAUCAUGACUUAGGCCCUUCCUCUAGCGCCAAAAAUGUUGUGGUUCAAAUCUGGCUCAAGCGUGACCACGUCGGAGGUGUCAGAGGAGCUGCUAGAGUGUGGAAGGAGAGGAUGGGGGCCACCUCCUGCACGGCGAUGUACCUGCACAAAGCCUCACCAGUGGGGUUCCGGUGAGGGCCCUCCGACGCUCAAGUUAGAGUGGGGUGAAUUUGGUCCAGCCAAAAGUCCUUUAGGCGUUACCUGAUGCCCACGGUAAACGCUGGGUAGCCAAGUGCGGAGCGGAUAACUGCUGAAAGCAUCUAAGUAGUAAGCCCACCCCAAGAUGAGUGCUCCCCUAUUCCGACUUCCCCAGAGCCUCCGGUAGCACAGCCGAGACAGCGACGGGUUCUCUGCCCCUGCGGGGAUGGAGCGACAGAAGUAUUGAGAAUCCAAGAUAAGGUCACGGCGAGACGAGCCGUUUAUCAUUACGAAGAGAUGAACUGAAACAUCUUAGUAGCCAGAGCAAAAGAAACAGAACAAAAGACAAGACAUGUCGGCCGCCUCGGUCCUAAGGUAGCGAAAUUCCUUGUCGGGUAAGUUCCGACCCGCACGAAAGGCGUAACGAUCUGGGGGGGCUAUUUAUAAUCCCCAUAGAGGUGCCCAGGUAGCGAAGGUAUGACCUAUCCUUAUCAUGGGAAGAGAUAGCUUUUAGUUAGACGACACACAGCUAGAGCUUGCUUGAGGCAUACGGCAUAGGCCGUUCUUAUGAACGGUAAGGCAUUGGUAGAUAUGACGGGGCAUGGCUGGGGAAGCAGGGCAUGGUCCCUGAUUGAUAUGUUGUAGCAUGGCCAGCAAGUAAACCAUGGUGUGGUAAGGCUGCUACAGGGCAUGGUCGCAGCAUGUGGAUGACGAGAUGGGCCUUCUGAGGUCGGCCUUCUGGAGCCGGCUCAACCUUCUGAGGUCGGCCUUCUGAGCUCGGCCUUCUGAGAUGGGCCUUCGGAGCUCGGCCUUCUGGGGUUGACCUUCUGAGCUCGGCCUUCUGAGGUCGCUCGGUCUUCUGAGGUCGGCCUCGGCCUUCUGCACUCGGCCUUCUGAGCUCGGCUUUCUAGAAUUGGGUGAUUUAAUGCCAAAAAAUAGGACGAUCCAUUUUGCCCCCGAUCAUGAGGGAAGAGCGAGAAACCCAUGUCCAACUCCUCUCUCACACACACUUAUCCCUAUGUGUUUAUAUCUUUUAUUUCAUUUAUAGGACAUGAUAUUAUUCCUAAGAAUCAUGCUUAAUUGAACCACAAUCAUUCAUCCAUCAAGUAUUCUAUUUUGGUCCAGAUGUAUCACCAUCAAGUCUUCACUCUCUGUAACCUUCCAUGCAUGUAACAUAGCUACUUGCUAGCUAAAUAGGUUGAACAAGUUAGACCUUCAAGUUUGAGGACCACAAGAUAGUCAUUUAAGAUAAGAUUUUAAAGAAUGCUGAUAUUUGCUGGUAUGACAUUACGGCCAUAAUUGUCUCACUUGUUAUAUUUAAGAUAACAGACAUUGCUUAUAAUUUUGACCUUUGCUUGUUAUAAUUUUGACCUUUAAGACAACAUUCAAUAGUGGAAGAGAAAAUCAUCAACUGCUCAAGCCAUUAUCUUUUAAACUAGCAUAGAGACUUAAAUUUGUAUAAAUAUUAUUUUUAUUCAAAUGAUUUAAAUUAAUCCAAUCUCAUCAAGAUUCGAAAAAAACUAAUCGACCAACACUUGAACCCAACCACUGAACCGGAGUCGACCGGCUUCGGCUCAAUCUCUAGUCUGCUCUCCUGCGUCGGCAAUGGUUGGUGGUAGACGCGCACCCGUCAAAAACAAGCACGGAAACACCACGAGUCCAAUCUGAGUGCCUCCCUCUCUCUCGGCCCAUGGCGGCCUCCCCCAGAGCUCUCCUGCUCUCCCGUUUCCGCCACCUCUCCGCCUCCUCCUCCUCCUACCCACCAACUCCAAACUCCCUUGUUCUUUCCUCCCGCCAUCUCCUCCUUCUCCGCCGGAGGCGGGAAUCUCACCUCCUCUCCUCCGCCGUCGCCCUUCCUCCCGCUGUCGUGUGCUGUCUCGUCUCCGGAUUCGACAGCGGCGGCGUCGCCGACGACUUCGUCUCCACCCGGCGGUCCGGCCGCCACAAGUUCUCGGCCCUGGCCAACGUGCUCCGCCAUAUCGAGCCCCUCGACACCGCCGUCAUCGGGAAGGGUGUCUCCUCCCCCGCCAAGGACUCUAUGAAGCGGACCAUCUCCACCAUGCUCGGAUUGCUCCCCUCCGACCAGUUCGACGUCUCGAUUAGGGUUUCCAAGCAGCCCCUUCACCAUCUCCUCCUCUCUUCCAUCAUCACCGGGUACUCCCAAGUCCCAUCUUUGUUUCCCGGGAUGAAAUUUCGGAGAAAUUCGGCCCAAUUUGGAUCUAAUUUUUCUUUCUCUUUGCUCCGUGAAGGUACACGUUGUGGAAUGCAGAGUAUCGGUUGUCGUUGAUGAGGAAUUUCGACAGUUCUCCAGGGAGUAGGGAAGUGCUGGUGGCUUCCCGUGGUGGGUUUGAGGUGUUGGGGGAGGGCAGCAAAGAAAGUGAAGGCAUGGGUGAGGAUGAGGAUGAGCUGCGAGGAAUUGAUGGUGGCAAAGAGAGAAUUGCUCCAGAGAGUCUCGAGAAUUUGUCUCCUGCUGCUUUGAGCUACAUACAAGAGCUGGAGUCAGAAUUGGCAUCUGCUCAGAAGGUGAAUAUCUCUUAUCCUUUUGCUUGUUCAGUGGUGCAUUGUCGUAAUUUUUAAUUUAUAUUCUUGAAUUUUUCAUGCAAACACCUCUAUUUCUGGAUGUGCAAGGAGAUUUUGCCUCCCUUCAUCUGCUAGAGAGAAUAUCUUGAACUCGCAACUGUACGUGGGUUUUUUUUUUUGGUCCUUUAUUAGCAAGUUUUAUCUUCAUGAUAUACUGCAGUUAAUUUCCUCACGGCAAAUGGUAUAGGCCUUUAAUGAAAUCAACAAGAAUAUGGAAUUUUCAAUAGGCCCUGCUCUUAUUUGAAGGGGGCUAAUAGUUCCCACCCUGUUUCAGUCCAUCCAUCUUAUACAACUGUGGAUAAGGAUCCAUCAGCUACAUAUCUGUAGGAAUCCCUGUGGUCUUAUCUAAUGCAAUUCAUCACGGUUGUUUGAUCCUUAUCCAAUAAGGAAUGAAAUGAACAGAGUGCGACUUCCAGUCUGCUUGAGGGUAUGGGAUCAUUGCCCUUUUGUAUCAUUUCAAUAUGGCGUGAUUGUCUGAACUUGUUAUUUGUUUUUCUAGAAAUUAAAGAAUGAUUUGGGCUUGUUAUGUACCUUACUAGGUAGUGAAGAAUACACUGCCAACUUCAAUUCCUACCGCCCAAGGCACACAUAUUUCCUCAUUAGAAAAUAUAUAUAUAUAACCAUAAUUAUAUUGAUAUCAUAUUUGAUGAUAAAUCUAACCAUAAUCAUGGUAAUAUCCAUAUUUCUGGAGGUAUAUUUCUAACCAUACUCAACACCAGCAAGCUCGAGUAGUAUGUGAAAUCGAUACAUGUGCACCUAGAUCUUGAAAUAGAUUGCAAGAAAUGAAGAGGUGAUAAGAUGUAAAGUGAAGGUUGCUUUGGUGUGAAUAUAUGGAUGAGACACUAGAAAAUUGUGAACAUGCAACAGAUAAAUUGGAGAAGGCAACUCUCUAUGGAUGAGCAUGAAAUAUGCUUUCAUGUAGAUGGCGUUUGAGCAAAAGUCAGUAAAAUAACCUACAAAAUUGCGUACGCAUUAAACUGCAUACAUGCUUGUUACGUUUAUGUUUUUUUCUGUUCUUAUGGGAGUCUAUAUGUGGAACCGUAUGUUUUGUAUUAUAGUGUUAACAUGUUUUUCAUGAGUGCAUGCAGUAGUAUGUUGUCCUACUCUGUGAAAUGCAAGUUCAAUAUGACCAUGUAUGUAUGCGCAAUUGAGAUUAUAAUUCACUCUAGCAUGUACUCCAUAAAAAUGGUAUUAGAGUUGAGGAUCACUGUUUUAUGACCAUUGCAAGAACUGAAAAGCCUAGUAUGUUAGAUUGGUUUGUUAUUUCAAAUGAUCACUCUUUUUCUGGGUUGAUGCUUUUGCCUACUAAAGCACUUGUUAUUUGUCAAUCUUGCCAGCUUGAUCACCGUGUUUAGAUGUUUUUGCACCUAAAUCAUUGCCUGCAGCUUAAUGUUUGUUAUAUCACAUAUUAUUUUGUGAAAUAUGUGGGAGUCUGCCAGGUCACAUGCUUUCCAUUCAUACAUUAUGAUGCAACAGCAUUCAUCAAUUUCCUGAAGUUUCUGAAUUUCAAUAAAAGCUUAAUAGGUGUCUCACUGUAUCCUCUGAUUCCAAUAGUGCAAUGUGGGGACAUGCAUGUUUCUACUACUCUGGCAUUUGUAUGGUUACAAGCUAUCUGUAAUAUUGUGCAAUAUGUUUAUUUCUGCUCGAAUCCAAAUGGUUAUAACAUUAUUUCUUGCAGAAGAAUUUAUUGCAAUUUAAGAUAAUAUAUUUGUUCAUUGUCGUGUAUGGCAUAACAUUUCAUGAGAGUUAUAUAUAAUCUCAGGAACUAGAUGCAGAAAGGCAGGAUAAAUUUUACCUGGAACACAGCAAAGAAAACAACAAUGACCUUUUAAAUUACCUGAGGUCUUUAGAACCAGCUAUAGUAAGCUUUUGAAUCUGAAGAAAAAAUCUCUAAAUUAUUUUACUUUUUUUCUCUAAACCUCAAUUUGCUGACCAAAAUUCCUCUGGCAGGUGUGCGAAUUAUCUCAACCAUCAUCAUCGGAGGUGGAAGGAAUCAUCAAACAACUUGUUCAGGACAUAUAUAUCAGAAUAUUAAACGGAAACACUCCUAGCUUGUUAGAAGAUUCAUCAGAGACAACAAUUGGUGCUCACCCUAAAAAUGAUGUCAAUCAGUGCGAGACUAUUACUACCCGGGAUUAUCUAGCAAAGUUACUCUUUUGGUGCAUCUCUUUUCCUGAGUCUGAAGUUCAUUUUGUUCAUUAACUUGCUAGCAUGUUGUUAUUGUCCUAGUUUCCCCAUGAACCAAAAUGGAUGUGCAAUUUAGGUAGGGAUCUAUAUGAGUUGCUAGUUUGUGUGGUCCAACUCUUGGAGAAUAUAUAAAAUUUUUAGCAGCAACAGAGAAAACCAGAUCAUAUCCAAAAGGAAGAAAAAUGUUUAAGUGGCAAUCCGUGAGAGCACAUAUACAUACAUACAUUUGAUUGUUUGCCACAGACUGCAAAUGCUCAGAGGUAAAAAGGAAAAUGCCCUUGUUAGUCCAGUAAGGCAUAAAAUUAGGAAUAGACUAUCUGCUUGCAUGCAUAAAAUGCUUAUGGAUGGAAAAAUCUUUAGGAUAGGAUCUGACUUAUUAGAAAUCUCAAUUUUAAUGAACAGCUGACUUCACCAUGAUGAUUACAGAAAAAGAGAACAGCAAAAGAACAAAAUGUUUGAGACAAAAAUGUUGCCUGGGGUUCCGUUAACAAAAUGAGUAAAAUGUAGAAUCAAUGCAAAGAGGAAGAUGAUAGCUAAUUAACCAAAGGGGUCAUGCAUUUUUCAAAUCUUCUCUGCUUUAUAGAUGAGAGGGUCAGAAUAAACCAUAGAAGAGUACAAUAUAGAAAACCCUGACAGCCUUGUUGUGGAUAGUGUAUCUGUUGUUAACCUCUCCAAAACUUCAGUUUGACCUCAUUAAUAUAUUGAACUGAACCAAUGAGAAGACCUUCAUAUGUGAAGGAAAGAAAUAGAUCUGUUAAAUGAGUUUGAGAUGGCCAUAGAUGGUUUUGAGGUAGAUUUGCAGUCUGUCUGUGUAUGGAAUUUCUGUAUUUAAGUUCAUCUUAUGGUAGGACCGUGUCCUUUGUGAUGAUUUCUUACUUGCUGAACAACUUCACACCCACCCACCCACAGACACACACACACACACACACACAUAUAUUGAUUAACUUUGUUUUGUUUUCUUGUUUGGAUAUGCAUUCUUGAUCUUGAACUCAAGCAUAUUACAGAACUCUUCUCCUGCAUGCAACUCAGAAACCUGUAGCCCGUUACAAAGUAUGCUGUAAAUAUAGACAACCUUCCCAUAAAAAAACGUAGCUGCCUAAAAGCUAAAAUUUUGGUUCAGUGAUAGGGUAAAUCUUUCAAUCUUACUAUAAGCUAUUAGUAAAAUUUUGGCCUUCUGAGUAGUUGCAGGCAACCUAAGCAGAGUCUGCAUGGACUAUAUGUCAAAAAGCAUAUAUUCGGCAGGAGUGGCCUAUAAAUAGUUGGCAGGUUGCACAAGGUCGCAAGUAAUGGAAAAUGUCCUGAUGCAAUUUGGCCAGAAAUUUUCUUUCACAAGUGUAAAAAUUUGGUUGAAUUAGCACGUGAAUUAAAAUUAUGCAUUUCAUGGAUGAGUUUCUCAUGUUAAGAUUCUUUAUUGUUCCCUUUGAAACAAAAUUCCUGUUUGAAUAAUAAAGUUGUCAAUUGCUGGUUCUAUAUUGGUUUUCCAAGAAAAUAAUUUCUAUACAGGACUUGUGAAAAAAGAAACAAGGAGGCAAAAGUAGCCUUUUAAGCCCCUGAACCACCUCUAGCUUUCCAACCUAAUGAAAGAGCCUAUUUCGAGAAAUGACACCGAGCUGAUAAGAUGGUUAAGAUUAAAAAAAAGACUGUCAGAAACUAUAAGCUUAGUCUCAGUCUCAGAGGUUUUUGUUUUUUUCUUUUCCCUUUUUUUUUUUUGGGGGGGGGGGGUCAUUAUAGUAUCUAAUGCUUCUUCUGUUAUGUUUUUUUCAUGGUAUACUCGUCCAAAGGGUCCUGCUAUUCCCCUGAUUUAUUGGUUUUGGAAGUCAAAGCAUGUCCUGUCUGCUUUGAAGUCUAAACUGGAUUCACCAUAAUACAUACUCAAUAUUGGCUUUGAAAAAAAUAUUCAUGUAAUGAGAGAUUGCCACCUUAGGGGAGAAAAGUACCAAUCUCAAGUUCCUUCACUUGAAAAAAUUGGAAUCCCUGGGAUACCCACUCUUGCUGCUCCUAGUAGAGUUUUGUAACUGAGGUAGUUAGCAAUAUAAUUAAUUCUACUCUUGUUCCACACGAUGCAAGAAAUUAGGAACAGAGUUGGGUUUUUACAUGUCUGCCAGAUAUCUACAUUCUUUUAGUAAGAAAUAGUUGGAAUCAUAAGACUAGAAAUGCGUAAGCAAUUGUUUUUUUAUAUGUUCUUGAACUAUUACAAUAGCCCUCCUGGUUAUGCAAGUCUAACCCUGAGUAGUAAAUGUUACCUAUUCAAGCUUAUUGUUCCUGAUUUUUAGCAGUAACUUAGUUUAUUGUCUUUUAUUGUUCUUUGAGUUGCCCUGAAAUUGAUUUACAAUCUAAACUUGCUGACAUGAUUCCCUCUUCUUUUUUCCCUUCUGCCAAUUGCAGGUGUAUGCUGUUGGGUCAUCACUUGAGAGGCUUAGAGUACAGGUUGCACCUGAGCUGGGCUGUUGGGUCAAUAUAAGAAGGAAUGAAGUUAAAGAAGCGUGCAUCAACAUUGUUGCUCAUAUUAGUUGUAUUUUGUUUUUCUUGUCUGGAAACCACCACCUUCCCUUUGAUAGCUUCUCCCCCCGCUACAUGUAUAAUUUUACAUGUGCCUUACAUUUUUAAAAUCAUGCCAUAAUUUUCCUUUCUCCCCUUUAAAUCUGAAAGAUAUAUGUUCAGAAAUUUGCCAAAUUCUUGAGCUGAUGUUCAAAUAAUGCAGAUUAACACUACAUGGUUCCAACCUGAGCUUAGCAUUGGUAUGUAUCCUUAAACUUUGCCAACAAAUUUUGAUAGUGAUACCUUUCCCACGUUGUUGAACGUUAUAAAAUGUGUUCAUUAUUAUUGUGCUCCAACUCAAUUAUUAUUAUAUGAAGGUGUGUCUUUAUGCAUAUUUCUUUAAUUUGAGCAUAUACUUGGUAGAUCGAAAUCUGAAUUUGGAAAACCGAUUCAUCAAGAGGACCUCGAGUUGUAAUUUUUAUGGAUGCUGGAAAACAGACCUUUGCUUAUUUUAUUUUGGAAAAUUUUGUUCCAUAGUAACUAGGCACGAAUUCUUAUAGGUAAAUAACUGGAAAAAGAUGCAAAAAAUGAUUCAGAAACAAACAGAAUUCCAUCAGUAGAGGAUCAUAAAGACUGAGGUUGCAUCUGGAAAUGUAGUUAUUCAUUUAGAGAGCACAACUUUCUUAUUUACUUGUUUCUGCAUGGGGCGCUGAAGUAAAUCAAUACAUUAAUGUGAAACAUCACUGAUUCUUGAUCCUGUCAGGCAGCAUAAAAUCUUUUGAUCCUUUUAAAAUCUGUUGUUAAUUGCAUUUGAGGCUCAACUGAGUUAUAAGUAAUGGCUCGAGCUCAUGUCCAUAUGUGAUAACUCAGGCUGACCUUGGUACCAUAUUUUGAUUCUGAUAUUGCAGCAUGCCUAUAACGUGCAACUGGCUUAACGAAGAGACUGGUUACAGCUGUGUUUUUUUUUUUGUUGUGAUUGUCACCCAGUAAUCCUGAUAUAAGUUUCUUUCCCUGCAAACUCAUUAGAUAAUUCAUUCUAUUGCCUUGCCCCUAAGUAACUUCCAAUUUUAGAAGAUAUCAGGUAUACAGUUUAAAAUGAGGGAAUGCAUAAAUUGUUUUGGGGGGUGUUUUAAUUUUCAUUUUAUUGUCCAAGCUAGUAAGCCCCCGAGUGGUCAGAAAUAAAUAAAGAUUUGGUAGGCAGUGAUUCAUGCUGACCUUGCCUUCUUCCAAAACAUUCGAAUUUUAAAGUGCAUAUUCUGGAUAAGAACUAUCCUGUGUUGAGUAUACGCAUUGAAUUGUAACCUCCUUUCCCAUGCUAAAAAAACAGAACCUUUUAGUAGACAGACUCCAGAUUUGCAAUACAGACUCACAAAUCAUAAUCAUUAGUGGAAACUUUCAUGAAUUAAAGAUGGCUCAGCAGAUGAUGUUUGCGUCUUUUUCCAGUUAGCCGUGCAAGAUAAGGUGAUUCGAUUUGGAAUGAUAUAAAGGGAACAAAGGAGUGAUUCAAGUUUGAUGCAAACAUGCGGUAGACUUCAUUGCUCCUGAUCCUUUGUGGUAAUGAUCAGAAGCUCAACUUUCUUGGUCUUCAUGUUCUCCAUUGAUAUCCUCUAUUACCUUGAACAUCUUAGGAAAAAUAUGAUUUAUAAAUGAAAGCUAAGAAAAGCAAGAUGCUUUUCAGGAGCCUAGCAAAACAGGGACAGCUCUUAUGCUUAGCAUGUCAAGCUUCCGUAAGAGGAUAGUUUUUCAGCUAUUGGAAGGGGUGGGGGAUGACCGGGGGGCGGUAGGAGAGGAGGAGAACUAGGUUCAAGCCUUUGAAGAAGGGGUGGGCCUUGACGUCGGCCGGGCCGCCAGCUGGGGGAAGGCGAGGGGCUGCUUGACGAUGUUGCGGAGGGUGGCCUCGUUGCUGGGCCCGGCGAAGGGGUCCAGCCGUAGGGAAGCUCGCAGAGGAGGACGCGGCGCUGCCAUGAGACUGUGGGAGCGGCCGGCGGCGACCUUGUGGGCGACGUACUCGUGGGUGCCGACGAAGGAGCACGACCGGGCGGCGACCGGCUCGGCGACGAAUCAGCGGGAGGGGAGGGAAGGGCUGGCUUGCGAGAGCGGAAGAGGCGGUCUGGGAGGCAGGACGUCGGCGCUGUCGGAGGUCGAAGGCAGCGGGCUCCAAACUUCAUCAAGAUUAUCGUGGCUUUCAAUAGAUGGAUGUAUUACGAAAUUGUGAUAUUUUACUCUUAUUUUAAAUAUAAGUCAGAAAUUUAUAAUAGAGAUCUCUAUCGUGCAAUGAAACUUCAUGAAAUUAAGUUCAAGACAUCAAAUUGGAAAUUUUUCAACAUCUAAUAUAAUUUGUAACUUUUUAUUCUUUUCUUAUCACGUUGUGUUCUCUCUGCCUUUUCUUUUUGAGAGAAAGAGGAGGGUACAGCACAUCCCUGAUUGAAAAACAUAAUCACAAUUUUAAAAUUAAAAACUUCUGAGCGCAGAGCAAUGCACCUUUUUGAUCACAAUGGCAUUUAGGUAUCUCAGAAGUCUCAUUCGCUCUCUCUCUCUCUCUUACUUCCGAAUGUAUUCCUUCUGUUACCUUUUUCAGAAAGAACUCGUGAUUUGUCCCGAGAAUAGCUGAUUUAGCAGCACUAAAUGAUAUUCCUCCACGUACGCUAUCCGCUGUAAACAUAAGCCAUAGCCAGCUCUUCCUAUAACCUCAGUAACAGCUUGGAUACACUAAAACAACAGUAGAUCACCUAAAUGCCGCCACCAUCCAUCCUCGUUGGUCGCGUCUCAUAUGGCGACACUUCCGCUUCACUUUUUUAUCCAAUCCGGCAGAGCACUUGCUGCGUCCAGCUCGUAUAACGCGUCAGGCAUCUCUGGAAUCCAACGAGAACUUUCCAGAUUAUGAAACCAAGACUUCUUUUUCUUCAUGAAGAAGAAAACGAAAAGAAUCCGAAAAAAAAUGAUGCAGCAAAAAAAAAAAUGCAAUUCGAUUAUUCCAUUAUUAUUAUUAUUAUUAUUCUAGCUCUUCGGAUCCAUCAUCAUUAUUCGAAUGCAACAAAAUAAUUUGCUAACGUUGGUUGGCGAACAUCAAAUUCCACCCUCCCUUGAAUCAUCAGAACAUGAAAAGAGUUCCUCGAAAAAAAAUCAAGUAUUCAACGAAAGAAAAUUAAGAAACUCUGGAAUUUCUAUCGACAAGAAAACGAUGGAAUGAAUCCCUCGAAAGAAGAGAGAAAAAAAUGAACGAAAUAGCGAGCAAUGUCUGUGGAGAUCCAAAUCAAAAAAAAAUCCGUAAUCGAACGAACGAGAUCAAUGCCCGGUCUCUGCAUCCAUCCGAAUAAACUACUCCUCUGCGGCUGUCGCUUUCUCUGCUGUACAGCGCCGGCGGUGGUGACGGGAUCACCCCAUAAAAAAAAAAAAGAAAGAAUAGAAUCUAUGACCAUAGUCUACAAAGAAACGACAGUGGCGGCGGAGGAAUCGGAGUCGGAGUCGGAGGCGGAGGACGAGUGCGGCGGAAGGAAGAGAUCGUAUGGCGCCCAGAGGUCAUCGAGAGGGCAGGGCUUGCCGGCGUCGAGGCGGGCCCAGGGCUUGCCCUUGCCGCUCCAGUGCAUCAGGCUCACCGGCCCCGGGUGGAGCGGCCGGCAGUCCCCGGACAAGUUGUCGCCACCGAGGCCGUGCUGGUUCCAGCGAUGGUCCACCCCCUCCACCUCGCCGGCGAACACCAGCAGGAACGGCGGCAGCGAUCCCAGCUCGUAGAUCCGCCUCAUACGCUGCACCUUCAUCCAGUGCUCGAUCUUCUGGCGGUACUCCCCGGCCCGCCACCGCGCCAGGUCCAUCACCAUCACCCCGGUAUUAAAGUAGCACGGGGGCCGCCGCCGGCCGUAGAAAACCCUCUGCCCGUCCCAUCUCUCCCAGAAAUCCUCCGCGAAGUACCGGGUGAAGUUGGCGUGGCAGUACUCCGGCGCGGCAAUCACCGCCGGCUCCGUGAUGCGCGUGUCCCAGAGGCGGCGGAUGUCGUCGACGACGAUGACAUCGGAGUCGAGGUACAUGACCCUGUCGACGCAGGGCUCGAGGAGGUCCGCGAGGUAGUUGCGAGCGUAGUUGAGGGGGUUCUCCAGGGCCUCCCGCACGGAGGCGGAUAUGAGGCCGCGGACCAAUUUCUCCCGGAGGGGAUAGAUCUUGAAGUGGAGAGAAGGGAAGACGGAGCGGACGGUGCGGUGGAGGUCGGAGGAGGAGGGGCCGGCGGAGGCAACGAAGUGGAAGAAAAUAGAUUCGGGGCACGACGCGUGUUUGAGGAUGGAGAAGACGGCGGCGACGGUGCCGCGGAGGUAGUGGGAAUCGAGGGUCAUUGCGAUGUGGACGUAGGAGGAGUCGCAGGCGGCGACACCACCGUGGAAAGGGGAGGCCGGGCACGCAUCGCCGUUCCGGAACUGGGGCGCCUCCACGAACCGGUCGACGCCGGCGGGGAAGGAGCGGACCGCCUCGGAGGGAGAAGGGAGGAGGAGGAGGAGGACGGCGAGGAGGAGAGAAAAAGGCAUGGACGCUGCGUUCUUUCGGUUCAUCUUUUUUGCCGACGGAGAGAUUCAGAGAUGGAAGCCGAGACGGGUGGGUUAAAGGAGGGAAGGGAAAGAGCCCAAGAGGGAACGGGGAGCGGCAGGGUGGGGUGGGACGCGUACGAAUCGCUGUCCUUGGCUGCUUCAAGCCCGCAGCGUAUAAAUUUUUGCCGUAGCCUACCCUCGGGCUCGCCUCGAUGGACAAUUGGACACGACUCAACCGUCGCGCGUCGGGCUAGUGACGAGGAAACGCGAGCUGGAGGGAUGGAGUCAACCGGGGUUUGAGAUUGAUGCGUUCUCACAUCAAUAGGUUUUCUCUGUCCGACCUGGCCGCUUUUUUUUCACCCUGAUAUGGAUUUCUUUUGUGCGACAAGGCGGCAGGCAGUAGUUAUGGCUGGGUGAUAUUUUAUUGGUUAUAUAUUGUGUCGGACUAUUAUAUAAUUAUAGUAAUAACUAGUGGAUCGGUGGCCAACUGGAUUAGCAGCUGGGGCUGCCAAUUAUUUGACUGAUAGUGAUGGUUGAUGGAGGAAAAGUGAUGGAGGACCGGCUGUGUCCUGAAGUUGAGUAAGAAUGGCCCUUAAGCAUGGCAUGAUUUUUAAAAAAAUGGCUGUAAUAAACUCUGUUUUAUUAAAAAAAAGAAGAUAGAAAAUUCGAAUAUUUUCCCUAAUAGCUUUUUAUAAAGAGUGAUAAUUUUAUUAUUCCAUGAACAGCUUAAAAUAUCUUGCAUAAGGCAUCUUACAGCCAAACCAUUUUGUUGUUGAUUAACUAAGGCUCCGUUUGAAAACUUGGGAUUGAGAAGGAAGGAAUGGAAUAAAAAGAAAAAUUAAAAAUUUUGACAUUUAGAAGUUUUUUAGGAAAAGAAAAGGAGGAAAUAGGAGGAAAAAUUUUGGUCUCCAAUUUUUUCCUUUCUUUUCUCCCAUAAGUGAGAAAAUUUGGAGAGAAAAGAAUUGAAACUUAAUAAAUUUUUUAUAAUACCUAUUUUACCCUCUACUCAUAAGCAUGCUCCUUUUCUCUCCAAACUCCAAAAUAAGAGGAAAGAAAGUACUUUUUUUUUUCUUCUAAAACUUCCAAACAAAACAAGAUGAAAGAAAAGUCUAUUCUAUUCCAUUCUUUUGUUUUCCCUCCUCAUUAAAGUUUUUUUUUCUUUUCUUUUUUCACCAAAACUUCCAAACAGAGGCUGAGUAUUUUUAGUCAGCGUAGGAGCACUCUUUCUAAAUCUUAUGAAGUUAACUUUGUUGUCUGCUGUUAUUACUCCCAUAUUAGAACAGUUCGUACUAUCUUUCCUAAUUGCAAGAGUGAUGAUCUUUCUUGAGUCUGCUUUUUAGGAUAACAUCAAGAUCUUCAACAUUAGUGCAAAAGUGCUUCCAUACGUUCGGUUGAAUCGACAUUUGACAAAGCUUCUACAAGCUCUCCUUUAUGAUUUCUAAUAGUUAGCCCCAAUACCAGCUGUUCCAUCUUGUGUAUAAUAGCUUCAUCUGGUGGCCAGUGCUUUAAUAUGUUUAGGUCAAACAACAUCUCUCUCUGCAAACACUGAAAUUACCUUGAAAGCCAGGUGUUGGUAACUAUCUCUCUCCCAACGUGUAAUGACUCGCCAUUUCCUACUUGCCACCGAGCUCCUGCAGCCUCCAAAAUAUCCAUAUGUUUCUUGAUGAGUAGGGUGGAUGAUGUGCCAAUAGAGCUUCUAAGAUGGAGCAACUAAACUAUUGCUGCUUCUAAGAUGGAAGUGCAUUGCCUUCUAGUGCCUGUAAAAUAUUGUGCUCUGCAUUUGAAGGAGCCUCCAACCUUGAUUUGCAUUAAAGCUUUAUUGAAAAUUUCCAAGUCUCUAAAUCCCACGCUGCCUUCGUUCUUCGUCUUGCAGAAUCCAGUUGGAUCUUCCUCUCAUUUUUCAUAUGCCCCGCCAAACUUUUCCUAUUAAGCUAUUCAGCUCGUCCCAUCAAGCUGUUGGCAAUUUUAAUCAGUGCUUGGGCCACUGAUUAGUACAUCUUUGCCUGCUUGAAGUAUUAAUUUUUCCUUCCAUCCUUCUGGCUUUCUUUUUACUCGUUCCAAUACCUCCCCAGAGGCUUUCUUCUUGGAUCUACCGAGAAUAGUUGGAAGACUCAUGGUACUUUAUAUUGUCCAAAUGUGGUAUGCUUGUGAUUUGAUCAUGAACUCUUCUUGGGGCGUUGGUGCUGAAAGUAAGAGCUGAAAUCUUCAAUAUUAACCACAUAUCUGUGGGUUGGCUUUUGCUGCUUUGCAAAAAGGAGGCAGCUGUCUGCCAAAAAAAGAGAUGAGAGAUCCUUGGUUCAUUUCUGGACAUAGACACUCCCAUGUAUGGCUUGCAUGGUUCUCUUUCACAUAGACACUCCCAUGUAUGGCUUGGUUCUCUUUCACCCUUCCCCUAAGCGCUGUAGAAACAAAUAUGGAGAAGGUGGGGUGUCCUUGUCGAAGCCCCCUCGAGGGCUACUUUAAAAUGACCCUUGGGUUCACUAUUGGUCAUGACAGAAUAAGAAACAGUAGACCCGGGUCAUUAUAAGAGAAAUCCAUCUGUCAGCAAGGCCUAGAAUUCUCGUCAUAUUCUCAAGAAAAAGAAAGGUCAUUCUAAUAUUAAGUUUUAGGGCCAAGAGGCCUUCCCCGACCGACUCUCAUUUUUUUUUUUCAAAAAAAAAUAAUGAACCAUUUCAAAAGCUACCAAGAUGCUAUUAGCAAUCGAUUUGCCCGGAACAAAAGCACUUUGAUUUUCUAAAAUGAUUUCACCGUAUAUUCUUUUGAGCCAAUUAGCCAAUACUUUGAAAAUGAAUUUGUAGACCUUACUGCACAAGCUAAUAGGUCUAUAUUAGAAAUGUUUUAAGGAAUUUUAUUUUAUAAUUUACAUUGGGAACAAGAACAAUACGAGUAUAAUCGAUUUGGAAAAAAACUAAUAAUUAUUAAGUGUUGCCGCUGAGAACCAGUCUAUCUCAGGCGCCGAGUGGGAGAGAUGCUGGAGUGCUUGGCGACGAGCUAUUUCGAUCGUACAAGGCCACAAUUCAGAAUGAAGAGCUGCCAUUGAAGUUUUGGCCUGUGGUCAACCUCCGAUUUGAAAUAGUAAGGACAAAAAAGUCCUCGUAUCGAAGUGGUUCGGUGGAGACUCUCCAAUGCCUAAGUCAGGACGAUGCUUUGGGAGCAUAGGGAAAUUUUGGUGGUCUUUCAGGGCACGCGAGCACUUAUCUGGAAGAUCCCCCGAGGAAUGAAUUGUAUAGGCGGAGGCGAGAACCUGUAGCCCCAAAAUUUGGGCAUGUAAGUCGGCCAUGUUUGGCAGGCCUCCACCCGUUCCAAGAAUCAGGCAUGGGCGUUUCGCAUGUGGAUUGCGUCUUGCCUGUUUGGCUGGCGAGUUCUCAGAGGUCGCUCGAGAUUUCGGGUGAGGUGUCGCCAAUUGUAGGAACUUUUUGAAAUUUAAAGUCAGCUAUGCACUUCUGGGUUUGCCACAUGGUUGGCUUUAACUGGCAAUUCAAAGGCUUCAUGUUGAGCUUUGGUUGGCCGGCUCUUUAUAUGAGCUGUGGUCGGUUCUAAGACCUAUCACUUACCCUCCACUUUCAUAACCGAUACGAGCUUGCUAGCUAGGGUUGCGGAAGUAGUCUCCUCGGUAGGGCCAACCAGUGAAGAUUGCCCACAAAGCCGAAUAAUUGUCAUGUCUCUUUUUAAUAUCGACGCAUAGAUUUUCCAGAUUCCAUAUUUAUGAGAGGCAUGGUCGUUCUUGUCGUAAUUAUGAAGAGGAUGUUUGGAGGCCGAAUGGAUGCUUGAGGUAUGACGGCGAUCCGAAAAAUCACUCGAGGGCAAACGUCUAGGCAACACAUGGCCAGGGUUGGUGAUGUGUCGUACCAACAUGGGUCACCCAUGUCUUCUAUAAAUAAGGUGGUUGGUUGCCACAAUCCUUCUAUCUUGUCCCUUCCUGCUCCCGCAAUUUAGGGCUCGUUUGGUUCGCGGGAAGCAUUUUCCCUCCUAGGAAUAUGAUUCCUAGGAAACAAAUUCCUAAGAAGAGAAUGCCUAGGAUAGUACUUUUGGCAUGUUUGGUUGACUAUGGGAAAGUGACAAAUUUCUAAAGUGCUUAUGUUUGGUUGGCCAUCCACUUUCCUAGGAAAGUUAUGUAUAAUUCCUAUUAUGCCCUUAAUAAAAAUUAGGUUUUUAAUGCCUCUUUAAUGCUUCUUUAAUGCUGAAGGGACUUUUUGGGAAAAAGUAAAAAUGGAGUGAUUCCCGCUUCAUGGAAAAGUAACUUUCUCAUGUUUCUCAUGGAAAAAACUUUCCAAUGAAAUGUGGGAAUCAUAUUUCCGUAGGAAUACAACUUUCUCUUUUCUCUCCUUUGAAAACUCCAACUAAGCAAGAAGCAUCUCAUUACUUUUCCGUUGACCACACUUUCCCCCCUUUUUUUCUCGCGAACCAAACGAGCCCUUAGAGAGAAAGAGGGCAGGCAUAGGGUUUGCGCAGCCAUUUUCUUUGUGUCUCUGCGUUGAGAUCCAUCUUCAUCAUCCUUUGUUUGGGCUUUUCUCCCGUUCUCGGUGGGUAGUUAUGCACUUUUGGCUAAUUUUGAGUCUUCUUCUUUUCCUUGCCUCCUUUUAUCCUUCUUUGUUGUGCUCAUGGAUUCACCCGCCGUGGGCUGGUCUUCAAUGCUUGAGGUCCGAUGGAUAUUCAACUUGUAUGUCAUUGUCCGAUCGUCUUCCAUUUCAUCCUACUAUAGCUGUCGAAAUUAACAAAGCAGCCCCAUAGACUAGUUUUUUGGAUUUGUACUAGUCAGGUAACGUUCUACACUAGUGUAAUAUAAUAGCUAAACACCAAUUCUAGUUUAUACCUUCACAAAGACAUUAUUCAUUGACUUGAGAAAAUGGUCCAUGGUAUUUUUGGGCCACGACCAGUUGUGCAAACACAGCAUGCAAGUGAUGGUUGAUGAAUUGGAUUCAGCGACCUCGUGUUUUUUCCUGGUCAAAACUGAACGGGGCAGCAGCGAAAUGCAGCCUAGAAUACCAGCGGCGCAAGAAUAUAUGGUUCGCAUGCACCUAGAAAAAACUUUUGUUUCGAUGCAUUACCGUUGACCAGUGACCAGUUUUUUUACAUAAAGGAAGCGGAGAUUAAUCGUUACGCAAGAACACUGACCUCCCUCUUUGCCUUACUUCGCAGCAAUGUUAUAGCUAACAGCAGCUCUAAGUUAUACAUACAUUCAUUACAGCAUUGAUUUCUAUCAUCGAAAUCAUAUUUGUUACAAGAAAAUGGUCCGUACUUGUUUCGAACUAUGACUUGCUGCAGCCAUGACGGGGUCAAUAGAAGCAUGAGGCAUGCAACUGAUGGCUGAUCUCUUGGAUUUAGCGAACGCAUGCUGUUUUUUUUGGUUAAAGUAGAACCACAGCCUAGAAGAGUCCUUUGUCUCCGUGCGUUGCCAUUUGACCGAGCAUUACGUUACGUAAAAGAAUUUCAGAUGGUUACUCAUGAAAACGAACCUCGUUAUUCUAGAUGUUCCUCGAAGCUCCGUCGGUGGGGGAGGGGGAGGAUUCGUGAGCAAGUUGGCAUAAUACUUUUCGUGGCAAUACGUGGACUGCAUGGAUGGUUCGGGCUACCGAAACCAGUCAAAGGAGCUUGCUUUCGUUGACCAACCUCGUGCGACCAUCCACAUCUCUGAAGAAUAUUUUUGCUUCGUUUAUUAGCAUUCCCUGACAGUGUGCCACAGUAGCUUAUGAACCGCUCUAAUUUGUGGCCAACGUUAACACCAUUGCCGCAAUCAUGAUGUUCUUAGCAUUAACUCUUUUUUUUCUUUUUGAACCAUGGACAUAUAAAAUGGCAUAUCAAUAUUAGAAAUGAGUUGUGAAUAUUAUCUGACAGCAUCCUUACGGAAAAAAAUUAUAAAGGUUCUUUGCUGAAUGCCCACUCUGCCAGCCGUUUCGGAUUGGCAGUGUAAAUUGUCUAACAUCUUAGAUCAACACUUUAUAUUGAUGCCUAUACUCCCAUUGUCAACUUUUUUUUUUACUUCAUUACGAUAUUGAGUAAUUCUUAGGACAAUUUAUAGCGAUCAUUGAUCAGUUAGUGUUAAUUGCAAACAAUGAUAUACCUUGCUGGCUAAUCAACCUUCCUUGAAAGUUAGGCCUUUAGGCUGCAAGAGUGUACAUUUCGUAAGUGUAAGUAACCACACAGUUAGCUUAUUCAGCAGAUUAGCCAGAAGGGAGACGAGAUACGGAUGAAUGAUGGGAUUUCAAUGGACGAGUAUCUACUUUUCUGUCAUGAUGGCUACUUCCAUUAUGUCUAUGUAUGAUUUACAUAUACAUGCAUAUACACAUCGUAUGCAUGCACACAGACAUAUAUUGCCCAUGUCUUGUUUACUAAUCGACCAGCCAAUGCUGAUCGCAUGUGGGAUUUGUCUGAGCUAAGCCUUUUUGCACAUGAGAAUGCAGCGAUGCUUGUUUGAAAAAGUGUAGUUUUCUACCUGCAAUAUAUAUAUUGCCCCUGAGGGACCUCUCCAUGACUUGGGACAUAAGGUAUAGGUCCACAACUCCAUCAGGAAGUUCAGAAAAAAGCACGAAAAUAACAGGACACCAUUUUCUACGAAAAGAACAAAGUGUUUGUGGAAUAAUUAGCUAUUUUACCAUUGAACCGAGGUUGAGAGCUGAGGCCUGGGCAUGAUUGCAUGUGUUAACAAUGAAAAACUACAAGGUUUUAUAUUGAAAUAUACUACUCAGCCAGGGUCUAAAAAAAAAUUUACAGCAUAUACUAGUUUUAAUGGUGUUGCCCAGACUUUAUAUUGAAAAACUACAAGGUUUUAUAUUGAAAUAUACUACUCAGCCAUUAAACGCAUAUCCAAUUACAGCAUAUGUACUUCUAUUAUUUUUAUGUUAAAGAAAAAAAUUAACAAGUAUGAUAUAUUUAUUAAGGAUAGGAAUGGUAUUGAGGAUCAGAUUAAGCAUAACUCACAAAGCUUGAUUGAUACAGUAAAAAAGUUUCAAUUUAAUAAAUAACCAUAAGAAAAUAUGGAGUCAUAUUAGGAAUGCAUUUGAUAAUUUGUUAAAUUUAAAUUUCAAAUAUUAAUCUUAUAAAUAGUGAUCAAUUUAAUCAUAUUGAUAUAUUCUUUACUUGUGUGUCAAAUAAUUUACUAAAGACGUAGAUAUAUUGUUUAUAUGAAAGAAUAUCAAACGUGUACAAAAUUGAUAAAAGAUGAUUGCUUUUAUGAAGCUGUGUUUUACAAGUUGACAGACAACUCUAGUCAGGCAUAAAAAUACUUACUGAAUUAAAUCAAUAUUCCUCCCAUUCAUUACAUUUUUUACAUUUACUUGGAUUCAUAAAUUAUUAAAAAUAUUAAUUUUUUUCAUGAAUCCAAGACACUAAAUAAAUUUCUUUACAAAUCACUAUUUUUAUAUUUGAUAGUAGAUUAUUAUUUUUAAUAAGCAAUUAUUUUUAUGUUUUAGACAUGCAAUGCAUGCGUCCCUACACUAGUUUAUACUACGAAUAAGUGAGAUAGGACCGAUAUCAGUGAAGUUCUUCGGAAAAGUCACCAAAUUUAAAGCAUGGAUAAACUUUCAGGCAUGCCAUGAAAAUGUAAUAAUUAUGCAAUGCUGACAAUUUUAUCAGCAUGAAUUUCAGCAAAACAUGUCUUUGGUAGCGAUGACCUCUAACAAACAAAAUUUAGCAUUCUUUGAAUAGAGGACACUCAGAUUUAACAGAAUCCUAACCAUCCAUCAUUUUUUUUGCCUGAACAUUAGUGAGUCAGUUCCUUGCAGAAGUACAGAGUGUUUGAUAAUGUUCUUGUAGUGCUUCAUGGAAGAACAGCUUUCACCUCCUUCCUAUCUGCACCAAACACCUAUAACAUAACAAGUUCAGUUUAAUCAUAAUGUACCAAUAGUUCUUCGCAUAACACACCAAUCAAUAUUCCUCCUGACCCACUACCUCAUUCAACCUAGGAGGAAAACCUCCAGGCUCCAAUCAUACUGACCCCAUAACAAGCUUGGUGUAGGAAAAGGCCCGCACAAGUUCAUCCAUGCACUAAUACAAUCUAUGAGGAAGAACCAGAUGGCUUAUACUAGGGUUUUCCAUUAAGCUGUCAGACUGCCUAGGCAGCCCAAGACAAGGAACCGUUCAACAGCAGCUUGACACCUAGGUGGGUGCUGGGAUGCGCAGAUUUCAUUCUUAGCAAUAUCGGACAUGUAUCUAAACUAUUAGCACAGCUGACCCACUAUUCUUCUAAUAUACUUCAGACCAAAUUUGAGCCUCCAUGACAAACAUGAAGGCUUGAAAAUCAUCAUGACAGCAUUAAGGAAUUGAAAUGUUUCAAAAGGCCAUGCUCUCUUGCCCAAAGAAACAUGCUCUAAAGUAUAAUAGUAACAACAGGGAGGGAAGAGGGGUGGAGAGAUGCUCUAAAGUAUAAUUAUAACAACAGGGAGAGAGAGAAAGAGAGGAAUUAUCAGAUGCUGCUUCAAAAAAUUUUCAUUUUAAGGAAAAAAGUAGAAAAAGAAGACGAGAAUUAAUACAGAAUUAAAAGAUUUUCUUUAAAGGGAAAAGUAGAAAAAGAUGAAUAGAGAAAUUCAUUUACCUCGACACCAAAACCUUUUACGUAAACAUUUGUGAAGAGCUCAGAUGGAUCAAGCAACGGACUUUCCUGCAAAUGGUGAAUGAGAAAACUUGUGACGAACAUAAGCAUCAUGAUGAGAUUAGAGAGCAAGACAGAAUGAAAUGUUGAAAAUAAUAAACAUGAUGAGCUUAAUGAGAAAGACAUGAAAAAAUGUUGAAAAGAAUAAAUCCCAGUGCAGUAUUAACCUUCGCUUGUUUGAUGGCUUCAUCUACCUCUUUUCUGAUUUCUUUCUCAAUAUCCUACAGAUAUAAAAUGGUCAGUGAAAAUGUGUCUAAAGGAACUCACAUGUCACAAUUGAUGCAGAUAAUUAUAACCAGGUAACCUCUUAGGCCUUAGCCCAACCCAACCCGACUCCAACCUGUUUUAUACAUUAAGCAGCAAAAGAAAAAAAGAAAGUAAAUGUAGAAAACAUUACAAAAAUCUUGUCCCAAUAUCAUUGACAUUAAAAAAGCAUUCAAUCUUUACAAGAAGUCCCAAACUAUAACAACAUCCAUAUUUAAACCAAAACCAAAAAGGAGUAUCCAUGAUCAUGAUUCAUCUCACUAUGAAUUGGAUUCAACAUUGGCCGAGCAUUGAGUUGAUUGAGUUUCAUUGUAGGAACUUGAGUUUAUGACAUCUUCUACAAUCUCAUCUAACUCGGCCUCCUCAACAUCUACAUUGAAAUAUUGCAAUAAUUAAUAAUAAAUUCAUUCAAAAAAUAAUAGAAAUAUAAUUAAUAAAACAAAUACCUUUCUUUUCAAACACCCAAUCUCGAGUACAAAUCAAAGCCUCGGCAAUAUCCGGUUUAAGUGCACUACGAUAAUUAUCAAGUACUCGCCCACCGAUACUAAAAGCAGAUUCAGAGGCGACCGUAGAUAUUGGAAUAGUUAGAAUAUCACGUGCCAUAAGAGAAAGUUGAGGAUAUUGAAACUGAUUGGCUUUCCAAAAAUCAAGGAUAUCCAAAUUGGACUUUCUAUCAACUCUAGGCUCAUCCAAAUAUAAUUCCAAUUGAGACUUCUGUGCAGUAGUCACAAAAUCAAAACUUUCAAAUGUAUCAAAAUCCUACAUUAUUGAAAAAAUGGAAUGAGUUAUUUAUAAGAAACAAUACCAUAUACAAGCACAAUACAUUUAUUUUAGAUAAAAAAGUUUUAUAUUACCUUAAAAGGAUCUGCUUUUCUACAUGCCUUAGAAGUUUCUGAAGAAGUACCAGUCUCCAUAUCUCCAUGAGUUGAUGUGCUAGUAGUUAGAGUUUUAGAAGAAGCAAGCAUAUACUGAUUAAAGAGAGAAAACAUACAAUCACGGAUGCGCAUGCUCUCAGUAGAACCAUACCCAUUCAACUUCUUAUAACAAUACUCCACAAACUGAAAUUUGUACCGAGGAUCCAAAACAACUGCCAUGGCCAAGAUUAAGCUAUGAUCCGACCAAUACUUUUCAAAUUUUUCAUACAUCUGCCGUGUCAUUCUUUGUAUGAAAGCAUCUGCACUCUGCAUCUCUUGCCUUAAAGUAAGCUCAAUCAAAAAAACUUGAGGAAAAUACAAGUUUGAUGUAGGAUAUUUAGCUCUGGAGAAUACUAAAGUAGCAUCAUAGAAUACACUCAACAACUUGCUAAUCUUCUCAACUUUACCCCACUCCUCUUCAGAUGGACAAUGCUUGUAAUUAGAGUCACUUAGUUUCAAAUGAAGAAAGGCACGACGGUAAAAGAGAGCACUCUCUAGCAUCAAAAAAGUUGAAUUCCAUCUUGUAGGAACAUCUUGCCUUAAGCAUUUUUUACUUUCCAAAGAAACUUGUCUAACACAUUCCAAAAAUUUUUGUUUCCGAACUUGUGAACCUCUCACAUAUUUAAUACUUUCACGAACUUUGAAGAUGGGUUCAUCUAUCUCCUUUAAUCCCUCUUGUACAAUUAAGUUAAGAAUAUGAGCACAACAUUGGACAUGAAAGAACUCACCAUCCGAGUAAAGUGCAUUAUUCAAAUUAAGUUGGAUCUUUAGCAUGUCAACAAAAACAUCAUCUAUCGAUGCAUUAUCCAAAGUCAUGCAACACAAUUUCUCUUCAAUCCUCCAAUCAAGCAACAAACCAUAAAUUAUUUCACAUAAAGAUAUGUCAUUAUGUGGAGGAGGCACGACACGAAAGUUAAGAACUUUCUUUUGUAACACCCAUUCUUCAUCAAUAAAAUGGGCAGUUAAACAUAAAUACCCAUCGGUAGUAAUGGAGGUCCACAAAUCCAAAGUUAAGCUUAUCCUAGAAGGAAUUGAAUGUAGCCACAAUACUAAUUUUUCCUUCUCUUUUUUAUAUAAUUUCAACAAAUCAGCCUUUACAGUAUUCCUUGAUACUAACUUGGCCUCCUCACAAACAUAAGCAAAUAAAGAUCUAAUGCCUUCAUACUCAACAAAUUGAAAUGGUAGAUCAUGCUUAAUAAUUGCAAGUGCUAGCAAUUCACGGAAUUUGUCGGGAUUAAACUUGGUAGAACGCAUUGAUAUGGACCCUUGAGAUUGUGAUAAUAUCAUCUGUCCUAUGUCACGGUUCUUUCUGCAAUUCUCUAAUUGACGUUUCAGUUUUUCGGUCCCAACCUUACUACCAAAUGAAUAUUCUGCACUACACUUUAUACACUUGCAUUUUUCAGUUGCUUCAUUUAUAUGAAAAUAUUGAUAAACAGGGGAAGUCAACUUUCUUUUACGUUUGCCAUGUGUGCAAUCACGUACUGUAUUAGAACCUAAGGGCGUCGAUUCAUUUGCCCUAUCAUCAUCACUCUCUAACUCCAUAUUCACGACGAGCUGUUUAUCCACCUAUAUCAUAUAAUUUAAAAUUAUAUCAGAAUACCAAUUUAGAAAAAAAAGAUUAGCUAAAAGAAGGAAAAUAAUAUAAUUCACUCUUCUAUUAGAAUCACAAAAUGUUAGACCUAAAAAUAAGUAACCAUGCUAAAGAAAUUAAAGGAAAAUCUAAAAGUCUGAAUCAGCAAAAUUGAUGGAAUAUAACUAAGGAAACUGACUCGUCGAACUUUGGUAUGUUUCUCCUGGUUCCACCUUCAAAUGCAAGUACAGGUAAAUAUGCCAAAGUUGGUCCCUUUAUGUCAACCAGAAAUUUCUGAAAACAGAAUAAUAUGUCUGAAAACCAUGUACCAAGAAUGCGAUCUCAGAAACAGUAACCAAUAAGUGAAAAGAUGAAUUUAGAUUUGAAAAAUAUCUGUCAGCAGAGUAUGAGGGGAUGCUGCACACCUGCCCACCUCUGGAAGGAUAUCAAAGAAAAUACAGCAUUUAAGCCUUUUCAAAUGUACUAGUAAAAGAUACUUACAUCUGGUUUACUAUCUACAACAAUACCAAGAACUGUAUCUUCCACACAUGGUACAUGCUGCAGGAAUACAAUACCUAAAAUAGAAGGGAGAAAAGAGGAUAAAAGAGAAGAAUCUGAAAAAAGCAUCAAUAAUGAAUUAUGCUCAGGAUCUGGGAUUUCGUGCUAAUUAGGCUAAAUGUGCAUAUAGCAUGCCAAUGAAGAGAGCAUAAAGAAAAGCCAGCACACAUCACCUAAGUGUGAAUGUAACUAGUAAAUAAAAAUAAUAAUAAAGAGAGCAGCAAAUUAACCAGGAUUUUAGAAGAUUGAUAAACAUAUGAAACAUCAUCUAAAACAUCUAGCAAAUGAAAGUAAUAUCAAAUUCCCAUAAAAAUUCAGGAUAAUCAAUUAUAACAGUAAGAACUUAAGAAAAUUUCCUACUCGUACUUGAUCUCAUUGACAUUCCAAUCACUACUUUUGAUGACAUUACAGAUAAGAGCAAAAAAAAUUCAAAAAAACAUGGUAGAUUAUCAAGUUAUACAUAACUAUAUAUUUGCACCAAAUGCUUUUGAUUUAUGUACUAGUCAUUGCACUUAACUUAUUGUUUUGCCUUCUUAAGAAGCCUAUUAAAUAAAGCAUCAGGUACAAUAUGCCACCAAACUUAAAAGGAAACAAGCAUCAGUUUUAUAAUUUAAUAAUACCUCUGCACAGUAAACCCCGUCUACACAUGAUAUAGUAAUAACUCUUAUAGUCUCCUUCCGGCAAAUCAUACAAUCUCUUGAAACCUGACUUCCAGAGUCACCUGCUUAGCAAGACAAAGUUCGCUUCUUUGAUCCUCUGAUGCCAAUAUCUAUGAUGAUUUAUAGAGUUUCAGGAUCGCUGCCUCUUAUUUGGCUGAUAGCAUCUCAAUUCACAAGCAUAAUCCAGUAAACAUAUAACCAACAAUAGUAUUACAUCCAUCAGGUCAUGCCAAAAAAAAGAAAAAAAGAGAAGGAAAAUCCCAAUAAAAUCCUAACGCCUUAUACAACCAGUCCCUUUUCAGAUCUAUUCUUUUUAACCAUCCCAUAACCUCCACAAAUUCCAAAUCUCACUUUUCACAUUUUCCUACUAACAAUUCCAUCCUCCCAAAGAAAUCAAUUCAGGAUAACAUCUAUAUAUUAACGUAACCAAACCCCCAAUUCCACUCCUCUAAUCCAUUCUAUUCCUCCAAAAAAAAGUUGUCUUAUUAUACAUAUUAUUUUUCAUAACAUGUGGUUGUAAGACUGCACUAGAAUUCUAAAUUUGAAAUCAUUUCCAAAAUUUCUCACCUUCAUGAUUCUGUACUCCCGCAUCAAGUUUUCAAACCAAAAAACAACAGUGAUGGAAAACAGCAGUGAUGGAGAAAAAGCAUUCUUAAACAGUAGAUGACAGUAAAACCGAGCAUCAGUCAGCAUCGAAAGAAUAAAAAUCACACGACCAUGUCAAUGCCACGGAAAGUGACAAAGAAAAAGAAAACUAUUACCAAAGAAAACCCACACCAACAGAAUUUGAAACUCAGAUCUCAACGCCACAGCCCCCAAUUCUUAUAAAGGCAAAGAAGACCAAAAUUAAGAGGCAAGAAUCUAAAAUCCACCAUCAUAACAACAAUCCACUUCAAAUGCUUCAGGAGAACGCCAAAUCGGGGGAAAGUAGCAUCCAAAAAGCGGGAAUCGCCCGCAACAGGUCGCGAUCGAAACAAAAAUCCUAACAAAUCCACACUUCUAGGACUCUCUCAUCGAGAUCUGAUGGAAAAUCACAACAGAAAUGCAGAACAAGACGAAAUGUAGGCACGAAAAGCGUAGAUCUAGAGUUAGGGUUUCAUACCUCUCAGUCUUCGGAUCCGAUCCGGAGAGUGAGAAAAGGCCGGGGAAGGAAUGGGAACCCAAGCGAAGGUGUGGCCUUCUUUUUCCCACUAUAUAUAGUGGUCGAGGCCAAAAGUCGCGAUGGGCCUUAUGCGCUCUGGCCCUUAUCUAUCAGCCCAACAGUUAAACAGGUUAUACGGAUAAACGGUUAUUUGAUCCAACCCGACCCAUAUAUUAAACGGAUUAAAUGGAUUAAACGGGUCAGACAUUGAAAAUAUGUAUCCAACCCAAUUAAUAAACAGGUUAAACAGGUCAACCUGUUUACGAUCCAAACAUGUUUAGGCCAAACCCAAACCUGUUUACGGCGUGUCGAACAUAGGUCGGGUUGGCGGAUCAGAUCAUAUUUUGCCACCCCUAAAUCUUGAGCCUACAUUACUGCAACGAAGUACUGCAACGAAGUACACUUGUAACUUCAGCCAUGUUUUCAUUGCUAUCCAUCAUAGACAUUAACCUAUUUUGCAUAGAAUUCAAUAAAGAUGUAUAAGCAUGAAAUGCAACUUUAUACGAUGAAAACAAAAAAAAAUAACAAGAACAAUAAAAGAAAAAUGAUUGCCCCAACAUAUACCAGCCCCCUUGAACCCAUCUCUUCAUCCCAUUCUUUUAAUACAAAUUAAUGAGAUAGCAAGAGAAAAGGCAGAUACAUAAUAUCCCAUUUUAAUGGACCAGAAAGAAAACUUUUAACCUAUAAUAAGUAUGUUAUAAGGGAGCAUAAAGCACAAACAUGUGUGCACAUAUGGCUUGGUUAAUGUUAAUGUUAGUUUAGAAGCAAGAAGUUGCUUAUAUGAAUGACAGCAAGAAAUACAAAAGNNNNNNNNNNNNNNNNNNNNNNNNNNNNNNNNNNNNNNNNNNNNNNNNNNNNNNNNNNNNNNNNNNNNNNNNNNNNNNNNNNNNNNNNNNNNNNNNNNNNNNNNNNNNNNNNNNNNNNNNNNNNNNNNNNNNNNNNNNNNNNNNNNNNNNNNNNNNNNNNNNNNNNNNNNNNNNNNNNNNNNNNGGGGGGGGGCGAUGCUUGGGGAGGCUCAUUAAAUACAAGGAACCAACUAUGAACAUAAAAAUAAUAAAUUCUGCAUGCACUUAGCAAAGAAGAGCAGCAAUUAUUAACUAAAAUACGAGCUAGAAUAAGAGCCACAUACCACAACUCAUAUAUAUGCAGCCAAGAUGGCUUACAGGGCAUGUUAAAAGAUUUAAUGGAUGCAAAAGCGAAUAAACUCGCCUUAGACAAAUUCAAACUCUCCUAAACUUCAGGCGCAUCCCUUUGUCCAGAAGAAUAAGAAGGCAUACUGUGGUUCAUAAAAACCAUAAUACCUCUAAAGCUCAGAAUUUUUUUAUAGCAAAUAUUAGCAAGCGGCUUUAGUUGACAGUUGAGUAUAGAUCACAUAACCACAUUUUGAGGGAGUUGACACCAGGUAACUUUAACAGAAAGAGGUGACAUGAAUUCAGUGCUUCUUAGUUGAAAGAUUUAUGCAAUAUAUAAAACAAAAGAAGAAAAAUUACACAAACUAUCGUUGAAGGGCCAAAAUUCAGUCACUUGUUACUUGUUAGUCACUCCAUGGUUACUAAUAUAAAAUCAAAGAAUAAAUCAGCCAACAAGCAAACAGUAAUCAUGGUUACAGAAACAUUUGGAAUACACUUCAGAUUUGGACUCGGAUCAUGCUUCACAGCUUCAGAAAAAAUAAAUCACUGUAAACACGAAAAAAUAUAAAAAGAAUCGAACCUCUGUCGGGAGUAGCGAAGUCGGAGUCGGGAGGAGGCGCUCGGAGGAAGAGAAGCUCGGAGCCGGAGGAGGCCCUCGGAGGAGGAGGCGGCGCUCGGAGGAGGCCUUCGGAGGAGGAGGCCCUGGAAGGAGGCGCUCGGAGGAGGCGGCGCCCGGAGGAGGGGCUCGGAGGAGGCGGCGCUCGGAGGAUGAAGAAUGGCGGUAGGGAUUCAGGACUCGGGAGAAGAAAACUGAAAACCCUAGCACAGUAGCGCUGUGAUUUCAAUUUACACCGCUCCAUUUCGGGUCGGGUCGGCUCUUCGGGUCGGUCCGGGUCAGGAUCGGGUCCAGAUUCAGUAAACUCGAAAUAGACCAAAAAAAAUAAUGGGUCGGAGCGGGCCGGAUCGGGUCCAGAUUUAGUAAAUCCAGACCCAAUCCAAAAAAUGGUUCGCAUCCAAUUUUAGGACCCAAUCCAGACUCGCAGGUCCUAAAAUUUGGAUGGAGGCGUGGCGGGGCGGAUCACGGGUCCAUCCAACCCAUUUCCAGUGUCAAUAUAGAACUGAAAUAUCAAUUAACACGGGGAACAAGAAGCAGUAACAUGCACGUUUAUCUCAAAGAGUUAGGCAGAUACAAAGCCUUUUUUUUUUUCUCUUUUUCUUGGGAAGAAAUUUUUUUUACAUAAAUACUCUUCUAAAAAUCAAAUUUUAUAUAAAUAUUUUCUUAAAAUUAAUAUUUAUAUAUAUACCUUCAUAAAAUAUUUGUUUUACUAUUUUAUUUUUGAAUAUGUAUCCACAUCAUUUAACGCUAUUAAAAAAUUAAUAAUUUUAAAUUAAAAUGACUAAAAUACUAUUAAUGGUAGGUGUAAAAAAAUAUUUAUAAGAUGAUAGUAAAAUUUUAUUUUAUUUUUAAUUAAAAUAAAUAUAAUUUUUGUUAACGGUGUUAGAACAACCGAGUAUUUGUUAAAAAAUAAUAUUUUAUAAAAAUAAAAAAUAAAUAUAAAUUUUUUAAAAAAUAUUUAUAUAGAUUUAAAUUUUUAAAAAGAUAUUUAUGAAAAAAAAUCCUUCCCGGAAAGAUACGGAGCCUCCACCCGUGUUACUCGCCGAGACCACGGGCUGCUCCCGCCAACCGCACGCCGAAAAGUUGGCUUCUGGGCCAUCACUCGGCCCACCGAAAUGAACGAACGGAAGGACUUGCUCGCCANNNNNNNNNNNNNNNNNNNNNNNNNNNNNNNNNNNNNNNNNNNNNNNNNNNNNNNNNNNNNNNNNNNNNNNNCUCUCCGUCCUUCCCUCUUCUUCCUCUUGCGCCCACCGACCCAUCGUCUUCUCCCUCCGUUGCCGCUGCAGCCUCGCCCUCUCCGUCGGUCCGUUACUCAUCUUCCAUGGCGUCUGCUUCGACCGUUAACCGAUGGCUGAGGCCCGAAGUGAGCCUCCUCAUCCUCCUAUCCUUUCCUUUUUUCCCCCUCUUCUUUAUUUCUCUUUUAUUCUCUUUCCCUUUUUUUUACUGUAGUCUGCUUGAGUUGUGGAUCUGGAUCCAAAACUCCAUCGGCUGUCUUCAUCUCUCCGCAGACUCUGAUUUAAAAUUUAUUUUUUUGUUUUUAAUCCUUUGUGUAGGUGUAUCCGCUGUUUGCAGCGGUAGGGGUAGCGGUGGGAAUUUGUGGUUUCCAGCUGGUCCGCAACAUUUGCAUCAACCCUGAAGUCAGGCAAGUUAUUGAUUGAUCUAUUAAUUUAUCGACAUUUGCUAUCUAAAAUAGCUUAAAUUGGCAAAUAAGAUUGGUUCAAACUUGUGUGACUAGUUACAAAUGGAUUUGAAAUAAGGUUGGAAACAUGAUAGAUCAAAAAUCUGUCAACCCGAACUCGAUGCAUUUAUUAAAUAGGUCAAAAAUUCAAAUCCAAAUCUGACCAUUUUGUUGAACAGAUAAUUUAGCUUUAUCUACAACAAGUUGAAAUAAGCUAAACGGCUAAAGAUUAAGCAUUGCCACCUCUAAUUUCACGAAGCACUAGAAAUGAUAUUAAUUAACCACCAAAUAUGUUUAGUUAACCAAGAACUUUGCUAUUAAAAGAUUUCAAGCUAUCUCCUUGGUAAUCGCCCCCUAGAAGGCCACAAAUAUUUUCCAAGCUUUGAAGCUAUUAAUACCCAGGGUUUUUUUGGUACAAUUAAUACCCAGGGUUUUUUUGGUACAAACCCAGGUUAGAAUCAACGCCGUCCUCUUUGUCGAUGCCAAGGCUAACAUCUGUGCAUGUUGGGUGUGUAUUGAGAUUUGGUGUGCCAUUUUCUUGCCCUCCCGCUAGAAUAGAAUGCCGCCAUCAACAUAGAAUUAUUGUCAACAUCGAUUAUAUUAAAACUAAGAAACAUAAAUGCAACAACAACUAACAAAAAAAAUCUGAUAAUCCAAAUCUGAUUUCUAGAAAAAAAUUGAGCGAGAUCCCAGAGGCAGGAGGGGGGGGGGGGUAUUGUUUAAGAAUUAAUCCAUAGGAAAGUUCCCUACCAAUUCAUUUCAUUUCAGUCAUCAACGAUUGCUCCACACUUCCCGGUAAGCUUGUUGGAUCAAGUAUAAAUACACAGGUCGAUAUAAAUCAAUAAUCCAAUGAGUAAUCCAAAAAUAGGUUAUGCAUAUGAAAACAUAAAUAAGCGUCAUGCAUCCAUGGUUAUUUCAUAUAGUCAACAUAUGCAUUUUCUCAAUGUGCUGGUUUAUUCUAAAUUCAUUUUUAGUUUGGAUACAAAACAACAAUACAUAAAUAAUCAGCCAGUAUUUGUAUAAAAAACUAUUAGGAUUUGUCCAUACCAGUAUUUGUCACAUAUUGACCUAACCCAUUUGCAGCCGUAGAAACAAGAACCAAAUGCUCUCCCUAGCAAGGCUUCUAACAAAAUUCAAAAAUAGGCAUGAAAAUAUCAUCUACACGCAAGCAAAAAAACCUCGAUGUAGGAUGAGUUUAAUUUCAGCUCCAUCUAUAUCAAUCCUAUAAAGCCCUUAUCUACCAUUUAGGAAUAUUCUGGGCCAUCCUUGGAGAGUGGAUUCCGAUCCCAUAAGCAAACCAGGCCAAAAAAGUUGGUGGAUGUUUGGCCUCUCUUUCUUUCUUUCUUGUUCACUCAGAAACCCUAUUAUCAUCGCCAAAAUUUUGACAGUUUGGUGGGCUGGCUGGGUUGGCCGAAAGGUGGGUAGCUAGAUGAAGCUUGAAAUUGGUUCUUUGGAGUGGAGGGGUGGCUAAUAGUUGGAAAUCAUGGUCGAGUGAGAUGGUGGUAGGGAGGAGAAGGGGAAGGGGGGGCUGCCGAAAUGUUGCAGUCUUUAGUUGCAUUUCUAAAGAAUUAAAAUUUCAACACUAAAGGUAAAAGAAAUCCAGGCUCUUAGAAUUAAAAUUGGUUCUUAGAGGAUUGACACUCACCAGUGCCAACUGCCAACAAUUGCAUUGUAUGUCCACAGAAUGUUCGAGAUGUUCAUUAAGGUGUUGGGUGUUAUUUCUUGAAACAGGCUUGGGAUUCCAUUGCCUCAUGUAAAUGCCCAGUGUAUUGGAUUGCAAGAGUUCUCUCGAGGAAGUUACUUGUUGGGGUCAGAACAUGCGGACAUGCAUGUCUAUUUAUGAACUCUCAGAAAUCAACACUACAUUAACAAAUUUCAAGAAUUAAAUCUGGAUUUCAGGCAUAAAUUGAGUACAGCAAGAAAAGCACAAGAAUCGAAGGCUUAGGAUACCAACUCUGGAGUCAUUAGUUAGUAUUACUUUCAUUUCCUUUCCAUCUUGAGGUAUAAGAGAUGUCCUUAAAGUUGGGAACAGUACAUGUCCUUUUUCUUUCCUGCAAGGGAACAUGCAGUUUAAUGUUGGUGAUAAAUAAAUGUAACUUUAUCACAUUUUCAUAUCAUUCAGCUUAUCUUGGUUCUUAUUCAGCCUGAGAUGUGAUGCAUUUAGUAAAAUUCAUUUCUUAUCGCAUCCAGUCCCCGGUCGGUUAUGAAUUAGUCAUCAUUCAUGCUUCGCUGGUUGACUUCUACAGGGUCAGUAAGGAAGGCAGGGCUGCAGGUGUGCUGGAAAACUAUGCUGAGGGGGAGACGUAUGCGGAACAUGGUCUCAGGAAAUUCCUUCGCACAAGAACCCCUGAGAUCAUGCCAUCUAUUAAUAGGUUCUUUGCUGAUCCAAAAUAAAGUGUGUGGAUCUGAGUUACCUGAAUUUUCAUGAACCUCCUCUUUCUAUUCUGCAUGCUUAAUUGGUGAAUGACUUUAUUUGCCUAAAUAAGAUGUACCUCAAGGAGAUUUAUGAUCGUCAAUAUGUCUGUUUGUUUAUGUGGUUUCUUCAAGAAGGAUUAAUCUGCCACUCUUGCAACCUUCUGAUUUUGCGAGUGUUCUAUGAAGCUAGCAGCCAUGAUAUCUUUUUUGCCUUCUAAAGCAAGUGUUUGUUCUGAGAAACCCCUGGAUCAUAAUUCGCUUGACUUAUGGAGCCUAGUUAUGGUUCCUGACAUACUUUCGAACUGACUGUAGAUGAAAAACUCAUCACAUUUUACUAUCCCGAUAAAUGAAUUUCCUUGGUGUCUACAGAAACAGAGAUACACUGGUUGGGCAUUAAAACAAGGCCAUAAGCAAUGUUUCUGAAGAGCUCUUAAAAGUUAAGAUCCAACAUUUUAGAUUUUGGGAAAUUUUCACUGCUAUAAGUCAUUGAUCUUUAUUACACUAGCCUCAGUAUUAACUGGACUUAUAAAUGAUCUGAGAUAACUUGGCAUACUAGGCAAUUGACAAUGGCUUGUGUUUGCACCCGAUCAUUGACCUUGCUUAGCUAUUUCUUGAAUUCCAAUCCAUGGGUCAAUUAUUUCACCUAGGUAAGACGGGAAUUUUACUCAGUCAUGCAGAAAACUUUGAAUUUGAAAUCAAGCAUUUUAUAAAUGUCACCGAUUAUUUGAAAAACCAUUGCAUUAUAUAGGGAUUAUCCAGCUAUCAAAAAUUUUACCACAUUGGGUUUUAAAAAAUUCUAAAAUCAAUGAAUUCCAUGAAAGCACUUUAGCUUUUCAUAAAAGUCGUUUUGGAAAAAUUGGCAAGCCAUAAAACCUGAAAAAUAAGUUCCACGACAAGCAUAUCUUCCCCGCAGAACUCAUUUUCAUAAGACCAGGCUUGAUGAUUAUAAAAGUCGCAAACAAAAAGGCCCGUAGGGUUCCAUAUCCACAUUGCUCAGUAAGUUCUUUUUUUGUUUGGAAAACAAAAAGACUUAAAUAAGAAUCACACCACAACAGAAAGAAACAAAUAAAAUGUGGAUUCCUUUAGUGAUAAACAUUAGCAAGAGGCAAUUCAGAGUACUGCAAGAGAAAGAAAGAUAAUAUACCUAUAGAGACUUUCCAACAUUUAUAUAGCUGAUGCUUCGAUCAUAUGAGAACCAGAACUCAUAUACUGAAAAAGUCUGGUAGCUAUUCAAGUGUAAGAAUUAAGAAGUUUGAUUAAGUUACAAGAGCAGACUGAUAUAAUCCAUAAGUAGAACCACCAAAAAUGAACUGUAAAUAAAUUGUAGUGACAGCAUUCUGGGUUCCUGUAUCGAGAGAAUACUAAGCAACCCAAAGCCAUCGACCCACAGCUUGUAUUCAUGAAACAAUAAUCAUUGUACAGGUUAAUGGGUUAUGUGAGCAUGAACAUAGCAGCAGGGGUCAGCAUUGUUUUACAAAUGUUGAUUAAUGACUGACUUGCAUGGCUGUUGUAAGUUGCUGCUGCCUUGAGCUACUUCUACAUACCAUGACUUCCAUGCCUCCAUGUAAUGUGCAAAAAGUUCACUCAGUGCUGCAAACGAAGCAUGCGACAAAUGGUCAGACCAAUGCAAUCCCAAGAUUGAAAGUUUCUACUAUUUCAGAAUUGAGAACAUUGCUAUUACAACAAGAAAUGAUAAAUGGUCCGAAUAAGCAGAUUAUAGGUCUCACCCUCGCUCUAUGUUGACACUCAUAUAAAUGAAUAUCAAGAGCAUUGUUUAACCAUUCUGUUCUUUAUAAUUGCCAUGAAAGGUUCAUGCUGUGGUUUUCUUUUCAUAUUUAGGUUUUCUUCCUGUUAGCCCACAAUAAAGGGAAGCCCUCGUAACUAAUCUAAACAAGCAGACUGUUUGAAAAGCAAGUAAAGGGGGAUUGUCCUUUUACAAAGAGGUGAAAACCUGAUGCUCCAAAGAGAUGGAUAAAUUGGGGGUUUUCUGUUUCAUCAUAGGAACUCCCGGAAAAAAAUUCAAGCCAUGAGUCAGUUCAGUUUCUGACCAAUCAGCACUAAACAAUAGCUGUUAACCCUCCAAGGAAAAGAGGAAAGCGUCAAAUGAAUCAGACUUAUUCUUUCACCUUAAGAAGCACUACUAACAAUUGCAUUCGCGCUAACAUCUUUCAACUAAACAAUAAAGGAACUAAAUCUCAUUGAGUUAGUGGGUGUGGAUGAGAUUAUAAACACAAAAGUAAAGGUAAAAUAUAUUCAAAAGGAUAGAAUCAUGAGUGCAGUUUAUUAAAUAAAUAACAUAAUACUCAUGAAUAAACUUCUGACAAGUUGCAAGGGGUUAAAGCCCAGCGCACAUAGACUACGUGUAACUAGGAGAAAAGUUAUUGACACCAGAAUCAGAGUACUUUCAAGAAUAGCAUAACACUGAAAGAGGUUUUAUUGAAGACAGCUCGUCAAUAUCAGCCUAUAUGUAUCUGUGAUGACAGCACUCCGAUCUCUUUAAAUUUUUUUGCCAUGAAAAAUCCUAAGAUUAGGUUUUUGUUUGGAGAAAAGCUCUGUGGGCCACGAAGAAUUUGAGAAUGACUGCAACAAUCAAUACCCACUUAAGACAUGAAGAUGAUUGAAUUACAGGGGAAAAAAGGUUGCAAACAUCAAGAACAUGAAAACAGAUAUGCAAAUGUGUGCAUUUGCACUCUAUUUCAUAGGUGUUAACAAGAAAACUGGACCAACUAAGAAAAUUUUUCUAAAGUUCCUGGAACCAAGUACAGUUUGGAGAAUGUAAAUUUAUAAGCACCAGAAGAGUGCUAAGUUCAGCUCCAAAGUGGAGAGCUUAAAGGAACUGACACGAUUAGGACCCAUCAGGACACAAAAAUUGUUGCAUAGAACAAUUGAAUUGAGAUGAAGAAUACAGAGAAAUAACAGCAGUUUCAUUUCAUUAUGUAACCAAUCCAAUAAGCACAAACAUCAUAAAUAAAAGAAAAAUUCCCAGACUUUUCCCCAGGAAGAACAAGCAAGAUAUAAACUUCUAAUAAGGAAACAAUAUUAUUUAUAGAGAGUAAGCACAUGUAAUCGGAAAACUGUAACAGAACAAGAUUGACAAUUCAGAGUGAACAAGACAAGGGAGCAAAGUCAACUUAAAUCAUCGAGGAAUUAUUGAGCAAACCUUGGUUGUGAUAUUGUGGUCUGAAGGAAGAGGCCAGGCUCUCCCAGUCCUGAACUUUGUUCCCACCUUUCUCCUCAACUUCACCAAUUCUUUUAGUCACUCCAGCUGGCCGGAAAGGCCCAAAAACAUAACCGCCCUUGGAACUCUGUAAUUGCUUCUGUGCUGUCAGAUUGCAUUCCUUCAAAUCAUCACUUCUCAAGCAUGCUUUACUGGGCUUCUUAUCAACCGGGGGAUUCAACUUGCUCCUCUUAAGGUCCACAUUGGUAAUGUCAUUUCCGAAAGCUCUCUUGUUCCACUGCUUUGUACCUUGGGGUACAGCAACUGUGACACCAUUAUCUGCCUUUGGUUUCCCCUUAGUUCCCAACCAUCGGAAUGCUGGCUUCCUUGUAUCCAAUUGCUGUGUCUGAACCCAAUUUAACAAAGGGAAAGAUAUGUAAGAAUUAUAUUUUAUUUUACCUGAUCUUACUUAGUGUAGCUGUUUAUAGUACCUUUUCGAUGAGAUUCAUGGAAGAAAGAACAUUUGCGAUGUCAUACAGACGCCGGACUUUAGCUGCAUUGUUAUCUUAAGAUGAGACGAUCAGUCACCGAAGUUAGAAGAGUUGGAAAUUAAAAGAGAAAUAAACAGUUAAAGCCAGAACAGAAAGGUUUAGUACUUCUCAUCUGAGAUGAGUCGUGGCCAUCACCAAGCAGCAGCCUUGCAGCUUCGUCAAGCGAGACUGUGUCUGCCUGUUAAAAGGAUGGGUUGUUAGUCAAUUACUGAGAUUAAAGAUCAAUAAGGCACAAAGGCAUUCCAAGAGUUCUAUAAAUAUGUGGAAUAGAGGCGGUGGUAGGCUUACAUCUGUGGUAAGGAAGAGCUUGACAAAAUUCUGGGUUAGCAGGCCCAGCGAUUUCUCCCUUCUAUUGUCUGUGACUGGCAUUCACAUCAGAUCCGAAGCAGAAUAAGAUUGUCAGAUCUCAGAGACAAUCCAAGGACACGGUCUUUAUAAAAUCAUAUAUUAAAUAAAAGGAUCGAAGUACUAUAAGGAAUCAUACCAGAUCUCGCCUUGCAAGCAAGGUUGCACGAAGACGGAGCAGCACCAACAGCAGCUGGGCUCACUUUGUAGUCACCAAAAUUUCCAUUAUGAUCUUCUUCAUCCUCCAAAACCUUCCUUUCCCCAAGGAAAAGAGAAUAAAUAGAAAUAAAUCGAUGAGAAUCGUGAGGAUCACCAAAAGCCAAUCUAAAUUUGUUGAUGUCAUGGACUACCAACAAAAGAAAAGAAUAGCUGACCUACUUUUACACAUUGGCCAUCUGUGCCAGACAUUUCCUUUAAUGCCUCCUCCUAAUACAGAUCAAGAAAAAAAAACUCCAAUUUUUGGGCACAGUUCAAGAAUUUGGCACCAGCUUGAAUAAUCUCAAAGAAUGGGAAGAUUAUAGGGGCAUAGACGAGCAAACCUUGAGGUCAUCCAAGGCCUUCGGGAUCCCUGAAAACCCUAUCCAAGAAUACCGAUUCUUGGCCUUCCUCGCAAGAACCUAAUCAGAUCAAAAGCAAUUCUUUUACUAAAUUCCAACCAGAAAACCAAAAAUAUAGGAUCAAGAUGUCUUCUUGUUUCAAAGAAAACAAGAAGGAAAUCCAGAUCUCACCCCCACACUCUCCAAUACAUUGACGAUAUCAUAGAUCCGCCUCCUCUCAACGCCCAGCCGUCUUGCCGCAUCAUCCAGACCCACCGACUCCACAUCAUCCCGAUCAUACAAGCUCACGAAACUACAAGAAUCCACCCAGGAAAAUUCAGGAAAAAUGUUUAAAAAAUCAAAAAAGAAGCAGAAUCAUGGGAAAGACUUUUCAAGGAAAGACUACUUGGAGCACAAGAGGCCCAAUGAUUUCUGCUUCCUGCUGUAGGUGUGAUGCCUGCAUCCCGACUCCAAGAAGGGUGAAGGAAGGGAAGCCAUCCCUGCUUUCCUUUUUCUUCUUGAGAAGAAGGAAGAAAGAGAGAAGGACAAAAAGAUUUGAGAUCAGGAAGAAGAGAGGAAUAGGACCCGAUCUGAGGCUUCGAUCUAUAAAUCAAGGAGAGGGGGAGGGAAUAACGACCGUUAAAAUGCUAGGGCUUUGGCGGGUUGGGCGAUUUGGAAUUUUUUCAAAACAAUUGCUCUCCGCUCCGAGUUCGGGCGCUCGGCUCGCUGGGUUGGGGGGCCCGCACGGGGACGCGGGGAUUCAAAUUUUCCGCUUCCCGGCGCGCCAACAAUUUUUUCGGACUAUAAUAACCCUGUUCUUUCCAGAAAUUACGACGGAUGAUUAUUUUGUUGCCAAGGAUGAGGUGAUGGGCUUAGGGGUUCAAUGGUCACUUCAGAAAUUGGAAACGGCGAGCCUUUCAAGGGAAUCUGUGGGGAAUUGCCGCGGCACGUGAUUGGCUCCAAGCCGUUGGUUGCCCGCGCUAUUUUUUUUCCCUCAAACGAUAUUUAAUCUAGUCCGUCCGAUCAGGUGGAUGACUCAAGGGUAAAGCUCCAUUUAAUUCUGGGGAUCAGUAGUAGAUAUCCUACGAUGAAUAAAUAUAGUAGGGAUUUACAUCCGCACAGAGAGAGAGAUUUACUAACGAGUAUUGUUAUAUAUUAUUGAUCAAUUCACCAGUCUCACGUAGCAAUCAAAAAAUGGUGCAGUAUAGAAGAAGAGGUCGACAUCAGGCAAGAUUCUCGUAGGAUUUAUUCAAUCAACUACUAUAUAAAACAAGUGCACGUGAUAAUAAGAAUGUCGACCUUCCUCAUAGGGAGAUACGAAGGGUGACAUGAAACACUAUAUAUUAGCUUGCAACUUUCCUAUAUUGCUGAGGAACGAGAAAUAUCUCACAUCAAGUUGGGUCCAACAUAUCAUUCACGUCGGGUAAGAUAUGGAUCGGGUUGAAAACAUGAUAGAUCAAAAAUUUGUUAACCCAAAUUCGAUAUAUUCAAAAAAUGAGACUUUUUUGAAGGUAGCCAUGUGUAGGCCUUUUCCGAAUGGGUCUUCGUAAGCUUCUAUGGCAUAGACUCCCUCUGGAUUGGAAAUUUGUCUUCACUCAGAGCUGUGCAUCCUAUCUGUCUGCCAUAUCUUUCCCCAAGAUCCGUUCCUAUUAAAUAGGUCGAAAAUUUAUCCAAAUCUAAUCAUUUUGUUAAACAGAUAAUUUAGCUUGAUCUACAACAAGUUGAAAUAAGCUAAAUGGUUAAAAGUUAAGCAUUGCCAUCUCUAAUUUUACGAAGCACUAGAAAUGAUAUUAGUUAACCACCAAAUAUGUUUAGUCAACCAAGAACUUUGCUAUUAAAAGAUUUCAAGCUAUGCCCUUGGUAAUUGCCCCCUAGAAGGCCACAAAUAUUUCCUAAGCUUUGAAGCUAUUAAUGCCUACAGUUUUUUUUGGUACGGACAACAUAUGCAUUUUGUCAAUGUGGUGGUUUAUUCUAAAUUCAUUUUUAGUUUGGAUACAAAACAACAAUACAUAAAUAAUCAACCAAUAUUUGUAUAAAAAGCUAUUAGCAUUUGUCUAUAGCAAUUAGAAACCCCUUAACACCGCAAAAUAUAAACAACUUGAUAGAUCAGCAGCUCCAACAUGGUAUGAUUAUUACAUAUCAAAAAUAUAAGAUUUGAAAGGAGAGGUGUAUUAAUACAUAGAGUACUUAAAGAAACUUAUGAAAAUUAUUACAAAAUUUAUGAAGAAUAUUCGAUCAUGGAUCCUAACCUUUUUUGAACGGGAUAUGAAGAAUUUGAAACUAAAUUAUCUUAUUAAGUUUGGAUUCAGAUCUUGCCUCGAUCAGACCUAGAUCUGGCCCAUUCAGAUCCACAUUUUUUGGAAGAUUCACAGCCAUUGACGCUAAGGUCUAAAUCAAUUAUCUUCAUAAUCUACAUUUUUGUUUGGUUAUCAUUCUUAAUGGAUGUUUAAAUCCAUCUUACUAAAAUAAAAGAGUAAAUUACAAAAUCUCUUUUAGGUUUACAUUUAUUAUACUUACAUCCAAUAGUUUGUAAAACCUACACAUAAACUCAGUUAAAUAAACAGUAUCAGUGAGUUCGUUUACAUUAUAUGAAAAGUCAAAAUUGCCCCUGAGUGAUGAGUAAAUUACAAAAAAUCUUUAAGAUUAGGAGUAAAUUAUACUUACAUCUAAUAGUUUGAAAAACCUACACUUAUCCCUCUGAGAUUUAUUUUUAUGCAAUACUUUAAUCCAUAACUUAACAAAAUGUUAGCCAAGUCGUUAACUUAAAUGAAACCUAAAUGCCACAUCAGAAAAAAAUAGAAACUAACCAAACUAGCCUUUAGUGAUAUAACAUUCACCUGAGGAGGAGAACAACCAUGAAGCGCCAUAGCUUUGGAGCUUGAUCAUAAUGAAUCAUCAGAAAAGAAUUAUGUUCUAAGAAAAAGCAAUCUAAAUCUUUCAGAAAAGUAGAUGCCUUUAAAAUUUUCUAAUGCGGAAAACUAGUAUCAAAAGUUUUGUCGCUUGAACUAGCCUGUUGAUCAUUGAUGGUCUAAGUCAGGUUAGGAAACUGCAAUUGAUGCACCCUCCAAAAAGAAGAGUUCUCAUGCACGUACUAAUUCGAAUUCUUUUGAUGAUAUACUAUUAGAGCUAUCAUAAUUCUAUAUAUAGAUAUGAGAAUCUUCAUUUACAGCAAUAAUGUUAAGGAAUCAGUCUACAGUAUUAAAAAGUAUAACUUAAAAGACGCUUAAAGAUGUUCAUAGUCGGAUACCGAUUAAGAAGGAAGCUUGUCGUCGGUUGCUUGUUGAAAAGAGACGCUCAUGGCGGGGUGGCAAAGCGAGAAAGAAACUUUAGCCACUCAACCUCGGGGAGAAGAAGACUCUUAAAGAUGGAAAACUUUGAAGAUAUCGAAGAGUUGAAAAACUAAAAGAUGAGACUUAUUUUUUCAUAGGGAUGAUUUUGACUUUUUGCAAUAAAUAAACAGUUUCACUAAUGCUGUUAAUUUAACUUGCUAUAACUGUAGAUUUUACAAAAUAUUGAAUGUACGUGUAAUAAAUACAAAUCAUAGAAAGAUUUUUAUAAAAUUAUUUUAAUCGUUUUAACUUUUUUUUGACGUGGCAUUUAAAUUCUAUAACAAGUUAACAGUUUGACUAACAUUCUGUUGAAUUAUGAGUUAAAGUAUUGAAUAAAAAUAAACCUUAGAAGGGUAAGCAAAAAAUUUUCAUACUAUUGGGUAUAAAUAUAAUUUACUCCUAAUCUAAGAGAAAUUUUUGUAAUUUACUCAAAAUAAAACAACAUUAGCACCAAAUAAUUAGCUAUCGAUAUUGAAGACAACAAAAGUGAAAAUCAUAAAGGUAAGAUAUAUCAAAAUGAUAGUUGAUUAUCAUAUACAUAUAUCUCCUUUUUUUUUUGUAAAUUUUAAUGCAGGAACAAUUUGAUAGGAAGGUUUCACAAUAAUCUGAUAUUCUGUAACUUAGCUAUAGAAUACAUAGCCAUCCAUUAACAGCCAGAUGGAAAAUAACAUAGAAAGAGAGAGCCUUUUUUCUCAGUGAUAGCGAUACAUAUCUAUUGUUUUUUCCAUUGUUGUACAGUUCCAUACAUAACUCACAACAAAAGGAAAACAGAUUUUGUAUUUACAAAAUCGGAGGAAUGGUGGAGGUGGACAAUUCACUGAUGAACAGAAUUACAUUCACCGGCAUUCCAAUAACCUGUAUCUGGCAGCAAAUCAGCACUGGAAAUUUAUAUAAGCAUCUGCUGCAAAACCUCAUAGGAAGCAAUCGAAUCUUUUGAAGGCAUCUGUUUGUGUUAGAUUUUGAUUCAUUGAGAAGGACUAUGUCUGAAACCAAAAUGUUUUUCACGUUGCAGUUUAGCUUACAUUUUCAGUCAAAGCCUUGAUGAGUUCAGCUCGAGCUUUCUCCAGGGCAUCUAACAGUUUCUCAGGCUUCCUCCCACCAGCUUGGGCAAAAUUAGGCUUGCCACCACCUCCUCCACCACAAAGUUUAGCUAUACCUCCUAUAAAUUUCCCUGCCUGAAUUCCCAUUCCAACGACUCCAGGACUAAAUGCAGCUACCAAGCUUACCUUUCCAUCUCCUGGGCAUGACCCUAGAACCACAGCUGCAGGAUCAUUAACAAACCCACAAGAAAUUCAGCAGCACUUUUCAGAGCAUCAGCAUCCAAGUCAUCCAUACUCUCAACGACCACCCUAGAGAACAAUUUAUUUUUGCUCUGUCAGAUUAGUGAUGAUAGAAAGCAAGAGAUGAUGGGAAGUUAGCAGUACCUGACAUUUGAGCUUCCAAUUAGAAACGCUUUAUUUGCAAUAAUUGAUGCUUUCAGUACUGCAAUUCUAUUGCGCAGAGAUGAAACUUCAUUCCUAGCCAUCCUUAGCUCCUCCAAGAUGUUUUCCACUCGACCAGUGACAUCUUCUGCUUUUACCUUGAAAAAGAAAAUGAUGAAAUGUAACUCAUGAACCAGAGCAAGUAGACUUUGUACUCUUUAACAGAAAUCCACGAGACCAUAUAACAACACUAGAGAUGCAGUAGCACUUGUAUCUUUUCAAACAAAACCAUAAGGAUUAAAUUCAUCGAUUUGAUUUGAGUGUCUCAGCUGUAGUCAAUGGUAUAUCCACAUCUCAACCAACCAUUUUUAGCUAGGAGUAUGAUCAUAUGAAGAAUAUAGGAAAAAGAAGUUGGGGGGAUUGUAAGAGUCCAUAGUGCCCUCAAUUUCACAUUGGGAUAGCAGAAAUCACCAUUUUAGAUGAAACCCCGCAUCUCACAAUCUCAACUUUCCAGGAACAACAUCCUCCACGGGUUCUUCCUCCUCUCUUUUCCUUUCACAGCAACUCCCACACAAAAGGAUACCUCAUGGUUAGGGUGAUUGCACAUUGAAACAUGCCCCUAAUUUACAACCAAUGCUGCUCAUUGAGACGAAGUUACUUUCUAUAUUAGUAUCAUAUCAAGACAAAGUUGCUUUCUAUGUUAGUAUCACACUAUUUAACGAGAAGGAAGAUAAACAUCAUGAAGAUCACCCCAAGCAUCUCAAAGGAGAGCCCUUUCCCAUCAAAAUGGGCACUGCUAUGGGUACAGCUCUAAGUUGGGAAGGAACCAUGGAAAAAUUGAGCGGAAGCAAGGUUUACUGACCUAUACCAGCUGAUACAAGAGGCAACAUACAGACCUGGUACAGGCUGGUAGAUACAGAGGCUUAGUAUGUCCCCAUACUGACACAUGGUACAGGUACUAUGCUACUCCAACAGCAUACCAUGCAUCGGUAUAGGGGCAUACUUUAGAAUACUGACCUGUACCAAUAAGGUAUCAGCAUAGGGUCCAAUUGCAAGACUCGAAACAUUAGGCAGAAUAUUAUAACCAUCAACUAACAUCAACUCCUUAAGAUUGGCUUCAAAUUCUUGGAAAGACAAUAUUAGGCAUGAGAUUGGCCCAUCAUUAAACCUAAAAAAUCAUAUCAGUAGGAGAUCGAAUUCAAUGGUUGCAUCUUAUGCUUAUCCAACAGGGGAACAGCCUUCUAAAAUUUCCCUAAAUUUGGAAAGUCCAGUCAAAGAAGGAAUAUCACAAGGUCUGUUAGAAGGAACUGCAUGUGUCAGAGGCACAUAUGAAAAAUUGGGCAGAACACAGCUCUGCAGAUGGUAACAAAAAAAAAAAAAAAACGAGAUGAGCUAAUGGAGACCUUGAGCGAAAACAUACUUUAAGUAUGGAGCACAAAUGUCUCAUAUGGUUGUCUCGAGCGGUGACAUAUUCAAUAAAAGCUUCACCAGCAACAGCUUCAAUGCGCCUGAUUCCAGAUGCAAUUCCCUGUUCUGAAAUUAUUUUAAAGCCACGAAUCUCUGAAGAAUUACUCACAUGUGUCCCACCACAAAGCUCCAUUGAUACACCAGGGACCUCUACAACUCUCACCUACAAAACACCACAUUGCACUUCAGGAGCCAAAAAAAAUAAAAGAGAUGACAACCCCGUUCCCCCCCAAGCUCAUAACACAAAUCAGUUAAGGCAGAUCAUCAUGAGCAAAAAGCCAUUUACAUAUAACAGAAUGAUUUCAUGCAAUGCUUGAGCAAAAAACUAAUUUAUAGAAGAACUCCAUUGAAUCUGACUGGCCCUUUUUUCAUCAUAGUAAAGUUUUCAUGACAUCAUCUUGGCUUCUUUAUUUUUAACAGUGAGUGUAGAAUUCAACAGUGGAUAAGAAAUUCAGACCUGUUCUCCAUAUUUUUCACCAAACAUUGCAAUUGCACCUGCUUUCUUUGCAUCAGAUAGAGGCAUAACUUUUGUUUGAAGCUGUGUUGCAUUGCUAAUCCACUGAUUUAUCAGUACUUCAAUGUCCAUUAUUUCAUGUUCAGAGAGUGGACGAUGGAAGUUAAAAUCAAAUCGAAGUCGGUCAAAGGCUACCAGGGAACCGGCUUGUGAUGUUUCCUUGCCAACGACACUUUUAAGGGCAGCUUGAAGUAGAUGUGUUGCAGUAUGGUGGACCUAAAAGAUAAGAAAAGUUGAUAUAAGAAAAGAGAUAUAAGUUAAUGAAUUAAUGUAAUAUUGCUAAGUAACACCUAGAUAACCUACCCAAUCUCUUAAUUACACCAGGAUAAAAAUGUGUAAAUACCAUUUGAUUCAUACCCUAGUUUAGAUGGAGCUUGAUAAUGGGAUAAUUCAGUCAAUUUUAGUUAAUGUUAUCAAAAGUGAGGAUUUUAUGUUGUUCAGUCAAUCAUCUAGACAAGUUAUAAUAGACCAUUCAAGACCCACUUUGAAAGUGCUAGGAGCCUAGGACCAUAUAAGAUGUUUAGAUUUAAAGAGACAUUUAGAUUUAAAUAACUAGAAUGAUAUAAAAUGCAAACUGAUAUAAUGGAGAUUUGUGAACUUUAGCAUCUUUGUAAAUUAUGACAGAAACAAAGUACCAUGUAUCAUGUCCUCACCAACCACUGACUGGUACUAGACACUCUACAUAAAAUGCACCAUACCAUGUAACAGUUGGCCCAAACCAGCUUAGAAAAUUUGAUAGGAGAUAAAUAGAUAGUGCACUAAAAUUAAUUAUAAAUUCUUGAUAUAGUUUUAUUUUGAUCGCUUUUCUGUUGAGAGGAAAAUAUGUUUUUUACAUGCAUAACCCAAAAUAAAUCUUGCACCAACAUCACCUAAACAUAAAAACAUAAUUAAACAAGUUCAAAAACAUCAAGCAGAGUCAUCAUGGCAGAUGUUACAUCAAGGAACAAAUAGCUCCAUGCUCUAGGUAUUUCUACCAGGGCCUUGAGAAAUGUUAUUCUAGAGUUGUAAACAAUUAAGGAAGAUAAUUAUUUUAAACUCAUUUCAAGUAAAUUCACACUUAUUGCCCAAGUUUGUAUAAGUUAGAAAAUCCUUUAUCUUAUCAUAAAUCCAGCAUCACAAUCUACUGCAGUCUCCUAGGACAAGAACUCCACUCUAGCAAUAUCUGUAAUGGACAUCUGAUAUUAGUGAUCAAUGCAUCUGAAAAGAUGGAACGUGGGCAAGAGUUUAGUGGUUUGAUAUGGAAAUUUGAAAACUUGAGAUCAAGAACCAGCUCAGCAUAUUGUAACUAUCAAGGAUGAUAUAUGCAGCAUGGAGAAAUUGAUCUUCCUUUCCCCUGCCUGGCAACCAAAUUUGAAGUACUAGGUCAAGUUAAACAUCUCCAUCUUAGUGGGCUACGGUGAAAAUUGCCGGAUACUGGAACUACAUCAAAAGAAAUUGCAAAGUUAAUUACAGGAAUUAAACUAAAGAAACAGAAUUGUUUAGAACAUAUAAUCAAAGAUGAAAGAUGCACAAAUCAACAGAUAGAAGGAAUCUGUAACUACUAUAAUGAUGCAAUUACUAAAUGGGUAUUAACAAAUGAACAUACAGCAGAAUAAACUUAAGAAACAAAGGCAUCAUGUAGAAGAACAAUUCUUUGACCAUUCUACCUUCGUAAUUUUCAACCUGAUUUUAUAUCAUAAGCAGCAUAUUGAAAUAUGCACACCCCCCCCCCCCUCUCAAGGACACAAUGUGGCAUGUCAGAAAAAUUAUGCUAAAAAUAAAGAUAAUUCUAAGAAUUUGAACUCAUACUUUAGCCCUCUGCCUCAAUUUUGCAUCAACUGCUGCAUCCACUUCUAAGCCGACUUCUAAUGUCCCCUCCUUUAUUGUACCUUUAUGAACGAAUAUAUUUCCAAGACUUUUUUGGACGUCCUUUAUUUCCACGAUUGUCUUCUGUUUUCUAUUUUCAUCUCCUAUGUAGUAUAAGUAACCAUUAUCUCCUAUUUGACCACCUGAUUCAGCAUAAAAUGGUGUCCUGUUCAACAUAAUUUCUACAUCCCUGCCUUCAGAAACAUGUGUAACUGGAUCACCAUUCACCAAAAGACCCUUUACUAUGGCACUAGCAGAAAGGGUGUCAUAUCCCAAAAAUUCAGUGUCAGGAACACUAUUCGCAAGCUCCAAUUCAUUUCCAACUGAAAGUUUGACCACGUUGUGAGCAGCUUGAGAUUGUCGUCUUUGAUUUUCCAUUUCAAUAUCAAAUCCCUCCAUAUCAAUGCUAACUCCUCGUUCUUCAGCAACUUCAGCUGUUAUCUCUAUUGGAAAACCAUAGGUGUCGUACAAAAGGAAUGCAUCUUUCCCAGACAGACAAGGCCUAUUACCAUUUUCACCUUCAUUUGAUAAAGCAUUAGACAGAAAUUGAUCCAGCAGCUUUUCUCCUCUCUCUAAAGUCUGCACAAACCGCAGUUCUUCUCUCCUUAACUCAUCAAGAAUAAGGGUCAUCCUUGAUUUCACAUCUGGGUCAAUGUGGGUGCUAAGUUCUAUCACUGUCCCAGCGAGUACUGGUAAAAAAGCUCCUUCAACAUCCCCCUGACCAUUGCCUUUUAUACCUAGCAACCUACCAAUUCGAACAACUCUUCUUAUGAGUCUUCGAACUACAUAACCUCUGCCAAUAUUUGAUGGAAACACCCCAUCUGAUAUCAGAUAAACAAUAGCGCGCAUAUGAUCUCCAAUAAUCUGGACAGAAUGAGGAAAAUGAGAAGGAUAAUCAUAAGAUAAUGAAGGGGAAUGGAUUAAGGGAUUGACAUAUGAUAAUAAAAUGAAUAAAUAAAAACUCUUGAAUGAAAUCAUACUUUAAGAUUGGUCUUUGUAACAUUAUCUGCUUUAGCAUAUGAGUUCUUUGCCAAAUUUGCAGCUUUCUCUAUAAUCGGAAAGAUCAAGUCAGUCUCAUAAUUGUUUGGAACCUGCUACAUAUGGAGAUGAAUUAGAUGAUAGUUGAAGGUGUAGAAAUAAAAAUUCACAAGAAAUAAGACAAUUAUAAUAAAUGAAGCAUACUUCUAUUCUAAUUUAUUAUAUAGCAUGAUUUCCUUUUAUAACAUUCGACAAAAGAAGAAAGAGUAAAAAGGUGUCCAUGUUCCUUCCAUUUAUCCAAUUUCUUAUAGAUAUGAAGCUCAUAAUGCUACCAAAGAUAUUAGGACAUCACCUUGCCCCCUCACCACGAGGUGUGUAGCAUGUAAGAACACAUUGAUGAAACUGUACCAAAGUCCUAAUUAAUUCAAUAUUAAAUGGUACUAUUGCAGAUACAUCUACUUCAUGAUACCAUAGGGAGAUUCAUUUAAUUUUCAAAACCUUUGCAUUUGGACUUGAUUGAAAAAGCAGUAUAUUAGUCAGUUGGCAGAUGCAGAUCUUGUUGCUAAUAGCAUCUUCAUAGUUAAUGCUUCCAAACAGCCUGUAAGAUCUCAGAUCAUCUUACUGGUAUAUUUUGUAGUGCACUAUAUCUAAUGAGUAUCAGGUAGUCAAUCAAAGAGAUACAGUAUUGAGAAUUUCUUCAAAUUCAUGUUCACAAAUGUGGAGAACCUUCAAGACAUAAAGCUAGUGACAACACCCCGGGUUCUCAUAUCAAUAGGUUCAUAACUAGUGGAGGAUGGAACAACUUCACCUUUGCGCAACAACUCAUAUUCACUCUUCUUCAAUCUCCUCUUCUAAAGUGAUAAAAGCAAGCUAUUGAUGAUUCAAUAGAAUAGUCAUGGUAGAUAACCACAGGUCGAGUUGAAUCUUCUCCAAACAGUGUUUAACAGAGACAACAAAAUAGUGAAAAAUAUUACAAACUAAGAGUGCAAUUGUAUAUAUCGGUUACCACAGGCUGAAGGAAAAAUUGGAAAGAAAUGGAGUAGGAAACACUCUAACAGAAGUAGAGUUGGGGAGAGGAGUUACCAGGAGUUUGUUUUUAGUGCUAUAAAUAGCAAAUCAUGAUUUUUCAGGAUAAUGGUGUAUGACGUUACCUUCUGAAGGAUCCGCGCCAUACGCUCGAGGCCCAUGCCUGUAUCUAUAUUCUUUUGUUUUAAGGGUUCAAGGGAUCCAUCCUCCUUUUUGUUAUAUUGCAUGAAGACCAGAUUGUAAAACUCUAUAAAUCUACUAUCAUCAUCCAAAUUCUGCAUGCAAGUUUAUAAAAUUGCUAAUUCAUUUGUGUAAGUAAACAAACAUUAGGAAAAAUGAUAAAAAAAAUUCUCGGUUAUUGAAUUAAAAUAAAACAUACGGCAUUAGAAUAUCCCCUCUCAGGAUGGAAAUCAUAAUAUAUCUCAGAGCAAGGGCCACAUGGACCGGUGACUCCACUGGUCCAAAAGUUGUCAUCUUCACCCAUCCUCUUAAUGCGCUCCUUCGGUACACCUACCUGAAGAGUGAUUAAAAAGCUAGGUAAGAUAUGAAAAUUGUUGCCAUAAAUAAUAGUUACAAAUGAAAUUCUCAAUCAAAAUAUGUUGUCAACCCUCUUUAUAGUCCUUUACUACAAUGACACAUUUAAUCAAGGUAGUGCUUCUAUCCAUUUAAGUCCAAUGAUAAAUAUUUUGACCAUCACAGUCAACCACUUGCACAUUUCGUUAAUUGCAGGAAUGAUAUUAUAUGUGGCUCAAAAUUAUUUGAAGUUUCAAUCAAGGUUUUAAAUCUCGGCGGGAUGGAGUGCAUUCCGGACGUCCCAACCCAUUCCUGUAAGAAAACAGGACCGGAACAAGAUCGGGACUCUGAAACCCAUCAACGCGGGGAGAGAAGAAGAAACAUGAAAGAAAGAAAGAAGGAAAGAUGAGGAAAAGGAAAAGGUGAAAGGAAAGAUGAAGAAGAGGAAAAGGUGAAAGGAAAGAUGAAGAAGAGGAAAAGGUGAAAGGAAAGAUGACGAAAAGGAAAAGGUGAAAGGAAAGAUGAAGAAAGGGAAAAAGUGAAAGGAAGGAAAGAAGAAGAAGAAGAAGAAUAAAAGAAAGGAGGGAAGGGAGAAGGAAAAGACAGAAAGGAAAGAAAGAAGGAAGAAAGGAAAGAGAAAGAAAAAGAAAAAAAGAAAUGAAGGAAAGAAUACAAGAAAGAAAAUGAAAGGAAAGAAAGAAAGGUAGAAGAAGAAGAAAGCAAAGAAGGAAGGAACGAAAUAAGAGAAAAAAAAGAAAGAGAAAGAAAGGAAAGAACAAGGGGAGAGAGAAGGAGGAUAUCUACCGGGAUGCAUGAUUGGAACUGCUGCCGGGAUGGGUUGGGACAACGGGGCAUCCCGUUCCAUGGAGAAACAAGGACACCCUGUCUCACGGGAUUUAAAACCUUGGUUUCAAUCAUAGCGUCGUUCUAAAAAGCAGUCCUAGGUGUUCUACUUAACCCCCAAGAUCUGACUCUCCUAGGCAACUGCUUCAACAGUAACAAGAGAGGUAAAGGAAAAGAGGAGAAAAUGAAAAAUUAGAGAAAGAUGGGAGAAGGGAAAUGCUGAAAAAUUUCAUCACAACAAUCUAGCAAUUUGUAGAAGUCAACAGCUAAUUGUUCACUAUGUACAACUCUAUGAAUCAUUUUUCGUACAUAUUCUAUUCUGUAAUAGUUCCUGAUUUUCUAAAUCUCGAUCUAAAUUUAAUCUUUUAUUUUCCAUAAAACCAUAAAUCUAGGAACUCAACUAGUUCUUUGGUUUUGUGCAUAGGAACCUCCCUGGUUGCCUCCUAGCAUGAAAACAUUGUGCAAUCAGCCACCACAUCUCUGACUACAUGCUAGCCACAUAUCCAUAACAUUCAAUUUUUCUAUCUUCGAUAAGUUUAACUGUCUGCUUCAUUAAGAGAGCUUCUAAAAAUUGAUUCACUUUUCAAACUACUGACAGUUUCAUGAUGUGUUUGCCACAUGCUUCUAAUAUCGCUGCAUGUUCAUAGAUACUUGAUUAUUUUUUGUUAAUAUCUCUUAGAAUCCUAUGCAUUAAGCAGCAUGCCAACAGUAGCUCAUUGCACAAAAUCUACAAGUAUAGAUAUAUGGUAGUCAUGGUAAGUUCUAGUUCCAUGGUGUACAACUGCCUUAUGAGUAGAACUUCAAAAUGUAGUGAAUGUUAAACAAGAUAAGAGCAUUGUAUUGAUGAUUUAUUAAAUCUAGUGAAUGUUAAAGAAUAUAACAGCAUUGUAAUGAUAAUUUAUGCAACUUGCCUCAUUAAGCCAUAAAGAGAAGGCUUCAUCAUCAUCUUCAAAAACACUAACCCACAGUCUCUCUGGAGGUAAUCCAAACCUAUAAGAAAGAGAAUGUCACAUUACAGCUAAGAAAGCAUUAUGACAGUAGAAACUCAUGAACUGAGUUUUUUUUUUUUAAUAAGAAAAGGUCACUGAUGACAUCUGAAUAACAAAUUUGGCAAAAUAAUGUCAACUCAAAACCAAAUGUUACAAAGAAUGCACAGCUAUUUAGCCUAAACAAGUAAACAUGGUUAGAGUUUCAUGAAAUGUGACAGUUCUAAACAUGAUUGUUGCGACAGACCACAAUAUACUGUCAUAUUUGACAGGCACAUAAGCACAAAACUAAGUGAUAAUAUAUAUUGCUAUGGAGCCUCUACAUGAUUCAUAAGCAUAGCACACAAGCACAAAAUUAAGUGAUAAUAUAUAUUGCUAUAGAGCCUCUACAGGAUUCAUAAGAAUACCUUAGACUGUAGGUCUUUAUUCAGGUGCCACCUCACACACACAAUCAUGUAAUAUUUAAGUAUGAUAUGGAUAAUCAAUGCAAAUGUCUAUAACAGAAAUCAUAUACCAGUAGCUUGAACAUUCCAUCCCACACGCGCGCGCGCGCAUGUGUCUAUAACAGAAAUCAUAUACCAAUAUCUCUAACAUUCCCUCUCAACUAUGAUCUACCGUGCACACGCUUAAAAUCUAAUUUGACUAGCAGAAAUCAUAUGAUAUGGAUAAGUAAUGCACAAAUAUGUCUAACAGAAAUCAUAUACCCAUAUCUCUGACAUUCCCUCCCAACUAUGAUCUAUCACCCACCUAGACCAGAAAGCAGUAAAAGCAUGCAAUAGUAUGAGUUCUCAUUAAUUCCAGACGAGUUACUUGGUAGACUGUUUGCAAGUAAUAAGCAGCAUGAUAAAAGUGCCCAAUUGAACUUGAUGGUGUAAAUUGCCAGAUUUGAAUAGAGAUCCAGUUUUUACAAGUAAUGAGUAGCACUAGUAGCAAAUAUGGUCCUCAUUUCCAAGAGAAGAUAAGGAAACCAAAUGACAGCACUUAUUGUAAGUCUUGCAUACUGUUGAAAACUGAAGUGCAAAGGCAAAUGUUUUAAUUCAUGCUAUCAGAAGAAUACUGAGGAGAAAUAGUGAUACACGCCAGACAGGAAACACAACUUCAAUAGCCAGUAUCAAGAAGAAGUCUGAGUAUCAUUCCAACACUCAAAGAAACUUGAAUAAAGGAACCAAAAAUGUUAUUGCAAAACUUAAAGAAACUCAAAAAAAUGGAAUCAACAACUCAAAUAAAGGUUAUACAAGUAAUGGUCCAUGUAAAGUAAUUAGCUCCAUACAUGUCAUUAAGGCUCAACUUAGCAAGUUCUGUUCUGUUGAUUGUGAUGAUUAAUCAUAACUUUUAGAAGCUUUUACAGACUGAUUAUCUAUAUGGAGCUCCAAACUACCAUAAGGUUGACAAUGGUAAGCGAUGUUUGUUCUCUAGAAAGUGCAAAUAUGCUGUAUAGACAAAUGCUUUUCCUUCAAUUAAACUACUUAAAUUUACCAAUAUAGAGUUCAUGGCCCAUCGAGAAUUAAAUUUAUGCAUACUCCUUGGUCGUAAGCUCCCAUGCCCAAAUAAUGGCUUCCUUCUUAAAGUAAUCGCCGAAGCUGAAGUUUCCAAGCAUCUCAAAAAAGGUAUGGUGUCGAGCAGUUUGACCCACAUUCUCAACAUCAUUAGUUCGUAUGCAUCUUUGGGCAGUUGUAGCACAUGGUACACGUCUAGGUUCCUACAUAAUGUGUAUUGACAUUCAUGUGUCAAAAAAAACUCAAAACAAUCGGAAAAUUCUAAAGGUGCGUUGUGCUUGAUGUCACAUAAUCAUACAAAAACUAAAGCAUUAUCCUUAUACAUCUAGCUCGAUAAUCAUAAUUAAUUUUAUAGAAAUGCUCAUAUUGUGCAAGAAUCAAAAUAAAAAAAAAAUUUAUUCAUCACAUGAUGCAGGAAAAGCAAAGAAAAUUCCAUUUUCCAAUGAUGAUAAAUCAAAAAGAAAAACAAAUGCAGGCCUUUUCUCCUUUUCUCAAACAAAAAAGAAAAAGAAAAAGAAAAAACACAAACAAAGAACUUCUAAUGAAAAGUUGAAAGGGGGAAUGCUAGUUGAGGGGAUUUAUAUAAUAGUGAGGGGAUUUGUAUAAUAGUGAUAUGGUAACUUAGAUGCAUCUAUAGUGGCACACAUGGGUGGAACAUUGACAUACUUCGUAUUUGGUUAAGAAGCUUAGUAUUGAUAAAAUACACCAGUUAAGAAGCUUAGUAUUGAUAAAGUGGAUAUAUUUCAUGUCUAGAUUGAUACCGAUUAAAAGAUUAAAGGCUUUCGUUACUGUCUCUUUAACCUUUUAAAAAUGUUUUAAAUCCUGUUGCAGCUAAAAGAAACUCAUUCUUGAUGAUAGGUAAGAAAUGGAAAUGGGCUAGCAAACACAGAUACCCAUUUUGCUUCCCAGUAUUUCUCAAUCACAUAGUGCUCUCAAGCGUGGUCAUUGAAAGUAGAUUUAAACUUUAAAUUACUUUGUCAAUUUUGAUAACUACAUUUUCUGUGCACAAAGGUUCAGACUGCCUAGCAAAAUUUUGAUGUUCUACUUCUACUCAUGAAAAGGUGAAGAUAGUUUACAACUACAUCUUCACUACUACUACUUGGUUCCCUUAGAGUUGGUUCCUUUGGCCACCUUAGUCGGUUCCUUUGGGGGGUCAUGUCCCAACUCUCAUGCGUCAAAAAUUUAAUUGCCUCUACUGUGAUUGCAAUUUUCUUUGAAAUGUUUUUAUGAAGACAUUGUUUAAUUUCAAAUGCUAUAUGUGGAGCAGUCUACUAGAAAGAAAUGAAAGGAAUUUAUGUGCUCAAUCAUCCUUAAGAUACUUGAAUUAAAAAAUGUGGUAACUAGGUUAUAAGCUCUGGAUAGAGAAAAAUUUCAUGUAUGUCAAUGAGCCAUAGCUAGGUGGAUGAGGUUGAGAUAUGCUUGUAGGAUCUUGUCAAACUUAUGCCUUAACAACUUAUAAGAACAUAAAAAAGACCCAUAAUCAUGGUCUACCGUACCGAUCGGUACGGAUUGGUACAGCCCAGUACGUACCGGUAUCGGACGGAACCGGUACGGUAUAGCUAUAUUUUUCGGUUCCGACUAUUCGCAACCGGUACCGGCCCGUACCGACCCGGCUCGUAUUGACCUCAAAUUUAUUUUGACUUUUGGCCCAAACCAACCG
rnacentral:lncRNA from 1 species